UUCAGUUGUUACCCCUGUUUUGCAGAGCCGUCGCCUUCGACUACUGCUGCUGCUGAUUUGGAUCAUGGCAAGGGCAUCGCGAGUUAGAGCCCUCCCAGACGAGCCAGAGCUAGAGGAGCACCUACUGCAGGUAGUUGUAUUUUGGUUUGAUUUCAUGUACAUACAGAUGCUUAACUUGCCAGUGCGAGUAGUUUUGUACCUUGGAUGUAAUGUAUGUAUAUGAAACUCGGUUAUUAGUUAUUUUAGUUUUUUCUAGCAGCUCUAUACUAUUGGCGAUAGUGUGUAUGUUACUGGUACUGUUCAGCUUCGCUUCGUAUAUAGAAAAAAUUUCUUUGUAUACGGCGGAUUUGUCGACGUGCCUGGAAAAAAAAGUAAUCCAGGGCGUGACAAAAUGACUUCACCUCUCUCCACUUUUACCCAAACCAACAGGCUUUAAAAGCUGUAGAACGUUUAACUGAGUUUAGAAAGAAAGUGAUUUUUCUGAAGUAAUUUGGUAAAGCUUUUUAACAAAAAAAAAAUUAAUAUUUGCAAAUAAUAAUUUUUUUACUAAAUUUUAUUUUGAAAUAAUUUAAAUUUAAAUUUUAAAAUUGAAUUUAAAAUUAAAAUUUUAAAUUUUAAAUUUUAUUUUGCUCACAAAUUUAAAAUUUGCUAUUUUAAGUUAAAAUAUAUAUUUGAAAUUUGAAAAUUUAAAAUUUAAAAUUUAAAAUUAGAAUUUUUAAAUCUAAAUUUAAAAUUUCAAUUUAAAAUUUAAAAUUUAGAGUUUGAAAUUUAAAAAUUUAAAAUUUAAAAUUUGAAGCGACCAACUAUGCUGCUUCAUGAGUGGUGCUUCCAAUAUUUUAAUUUUUGGAUCAACUCCUUUUAUCAUUUUUAGACCUUGAAUUAUUACUAUUAUUCUAGGGGGACUACUAAACCUUGGCGCUAUUUUCGGUAUUUGAGAAUAGUAGUUCUUCUAUCUCUGAAAUAAGCUGGUAUAAUCAGGUAUAAUCUUGGAACAAAGGCUCCACCCUACCCCCGGAACAAGCAUGUUCCUAAGUGGGAACAAAGUUAAUUAAAGUCUAAUUUAACUUUAAUUAUGAUAUUAAAUUAUUAAUUAAUCUAAUUAAUAUAUUUAAGUCGUUAUAUAUUACUUAAUAGUAAAAUAAUUAAUUUAUUAUUUAUAAUUAAUUAACUAAUUAAAAAUUAAUGUUUUAAUCAAUUUAUUCAAUAACCCAUAUUUGUAUUGAUCAACCAUUAUUAUUUUGACUAAUCUAUUUAAUUUUUGACUAAUUAUCUAACUAAAAUAAUUUCUAACUAAUUAAAAAGUUAAAUAAUUAACUAAUAAUUAUUUUUAUUCAUUUAUCAAUUUAUUAUAAUAUUCAUAGCUAAUAAUUUAUUAAUUUAGUGAAUUAUUUUUAAUUAAUAUUUGAUGUUAAUUAAUAAAUAAAAUAUUUUUAAUUUAAAAUUAUAACUCUUAUUCUCUUGUUCCAAUCUAACCAUCCAAACAUCAUUUAUUUUAUUCCCAGGAAUAACUCAAUUUUCAACCAAACACAAAAUUGGUCUAAUUCCUACUUAUACCUCAAAUAAAAUAAAAUAUUUGUAAUUUAAAAUUAUAGCUCUUAUUCCUCCUGUUCCAAUCUAACCAUCCAAAUCUAUUUAUCUUAUUCUUAGAAACAAUCCAAUUUUCAUUGAAACGCAAAAUUGGUCUAGCUCCUGUCUAUACCUCAACUUGUACCUAUCCAUGAAUAAACAGUUCUUACUUAUAUUCAAACCAAACGUAGUCCUAAGGAUCACUAUUAUUCCAACCCUACAAUUCUUAAUUCAAGGACGAGAAAGCCGGAAGCACCAACUCUUUUAUGUUUCUUAAAUAUAGCAGCUCUACACAAAUUAGAGUAUUUAAUAUUUAAAAUUUAACAUUAAAAAUUUAAAUUAAAAAACUAAAAUUUUAAAUAUUAAAUUUGAAUAUUAAAAAUCUAAAACUUAAAAUUCAAAAUUCAAAAUUAAAAUUAAAAAUUUGAAAUUUGUAAUUUAAAAUUCAAAAUUAAAAUUAAAAAUUUGAAAUUUGUAAUUUAAAAAUUAAAACUUAUAAUUUAAAAUUUUAAAUUUUAAAUUCUAAAAUAUUAAAAUUUAGAUCAAUUUUUAAAUUUUUAAAAUUUAAAAUUUGAUAUUUGAAUUUUAAAUUUGAAUUUUAAAUUUUAAAUUUAAAAAUUGAAAUUUAAUAUCUAAAUUUUAAAAUUUGAAAUUUAGAAGUUAAAAUUUUAAAAUUUAAAAUUCAAAUAUAAAAUUUUAAAAUUUAAAAUUAAAAAUUGAAUAUAAAUUUAAAAUCUGAAUCUAAAUUCAAAAUAAAAAUUUAAAUUUGAGUGCAAAAUCAAAAUCAGAUUCCAAGAAGUAGAUAUUAGCUGUUUCUAAUUUUAAGCCUUGAAAAUCAGAAAAUUGAUUUUAAAAAUCAGAAUCAGAUUUUAGAAACGAAGUUGUAAAACACUAUAUUGAGCCAAAAAUUAUUUUUGAGCUCAAAAUCACAUUUCUUUUUUUUCUUUUUUUUUUUGUUUGAGAGAUAGGUAGCACGUUACCCGCUUCGUUUAUUUCAUUUAGAAAUAAACUUAGCUGGAAAUGUAAAUCAACUAGGAUUCGAAUUUGGGUCUCGGGUACCAACCACCAAGUCCUUUGCCACUUGCUCUAGAGAUGGUUGGCAGCUCAAAAUCACAUUUCAAAAGCUAGACCAAACACCCACAUAUUCUAUGAACUAGAUUCUGAUCUUAGAGCUUCUAUGAUAAGAUUCUAGAAUUGCGGUGCGCGGUGCACCAAAUGCACGCAAUAAUUAGCCAAUGUCUUUUCUUUUCCCAUGGACAAAGUGGACUGGGUUCAUGCCCUAAUUUUCUCAAUCCAGGGUUCUGGAACUGUGGAUGGACCACCACGCAGGGAUUUUCUGUUGAGGAGGACAUUUUCUCCCUGUGGUCCCAUGCUCCAGCUGCACAAUUUUGAAUACCCAUUCAACUAAUUGCUUGUCCAAUGUUUUCUCUGAACACCUGCAACUAUCUUAAAUUGCAUAUUAAACCGCGUAGGACGUUCUGAAUCACGCACCAUGUGUGUUUGCUCCCGCAGUCUCUCGUUCCUAUUAAGCGCAUUAAAGUGCAUAUAUAUAAUUUCCUUUUUCUUUCUCCUCCUCUUUUUCUUCGUCAAUAUUUGAACCAAGGUUUGUACCUACAAAAUUAUUUUAAAUGAUUUUAGGGUAAACUUUUGUACACGCUAUUCCCAAGUCAUGGUUUCUAGAAAUAACCACCUUAGAUAUGAACCCGAAAAAAGUUUGAAGACCAUACGGUUUUUGCGCAAUUUUACACAUCCUUGCAGAUUCAUACAUCACAAGUAGCAUAUUCUGGCAUCUAAGCAACCCCAACCUGGAUACAUGCCAGUUAAGAUGUGAUCUGGAUGUGGUCCAGGAAAUCUCUAUUUAGUAUCUCUUGUUUCUCAUGGCCCAUUUUUCCGCUGGUCGAUGAGCGCCGUAAACGAAUAUCCACAACUGCAAUGCGAAUAGGAAACUCUCAUCCAACACAAGCGAUUACCGCAUGUACAUUGUUCGAACAACCAAAAAAGCCCCAAAACAAAGAUUCUCAGAGACUUUUUAACCGUCGACUUCGUCGAAAUCUGUUAGUCUUAUAAGAACAAGACCAGAAAGAUCACAAUGGAUGCUUACACAGUGAUUGCUGCAAGGCUUUUAAUUUCAAGAGACGAUUUUUACAUUGAAGAGAAACAAUAUGAUACAAAAUCGAUAUCAUCCACAACCUCAUGAGACCAAUCGAUCGACCACAAAAUUGUGAAGUAAAAGAUAGGCAAUAGAAGAGUAUAGUGCGGAUUGAUCGUUCACGCACGUACUCGCUACAAGUUUAAAUGAGAGAAGAGGGAAGGAACCAAGUCGACCACCGACCACGCGAGGCCCGCAUACUGUAGGAACCGUAUACCGGUAUCGACGUCAUACGCCUUUUGAGGUAAGAAGGACACGACUUUUUGGAGAUAGCCCGCCUGCUUGAACUCGGACUUGUUCUUGCCGUUAUCGGAGACUUUAAGUGCGGGAAUGUAGCACGAAGAUACUAUGGGGAUGCCCAAAGUAUUGCACAUCACUGGGAGCAACCAUUUUGCUAUUGCCUUGCUGCAGAACUUGACGAUUAGUAUUGUCGGGAUGCCGACAAGAACCCUUGCGAUAAAAACUGGAAACGUUAGUUCGGGUGUGAAGAUGUGGGGGACACCCUCGUGGUGGAAAUGGAGGUAAGUUUGUUGAAUCCCACUGACCUGGAAGGAGAAGACAACAGUUGUUAGAGUCUCUCUCUGGCCUAAACUAUUUCCAGUCAGUGCGUAAGAUAAUGUUUGAAGUAAGAAAAAUCACUCAUCAGACAUAAAGAAGGAAAAAAAAAAAAAAAAAAUCUACCCCAAAUAACUGACGAUACUCAUCAGAGGAAAUGGGCUGUACGUAGAAUUUGAUUAAAGAAUUUCAGAUUAUAUCAGAACCAGUGAUGUGACUGCAAGUGCUUUCAAUAGAAUUUUGCACUGCAAACUUGUUUAACAUGCCAAGUUUGUUAAUAAAUUUGCAUGGACUCUGCGAAGUCAAAUGCAAAUACAUGCAUUCACUGAUAGUUACCCAGUUAAUCUAUUCUUAAGUGGCCGAAAAUUAGAAAAAAGAAAAAGAUGCAAACUUUGCUAGUAAUUACAUCAUAUCAUGCCACAGGUUAUGUCAACAAAGGCCUAGUUUUGAAGUGCUUCCUCCUAAGGUGGUGUAGUAAUGCUGUAAAGUUACUUUAACAAAAAAAAAAAAAAUUCUGAAAACGCACUAGAUUUCUAGCAUAAAACAGUGUGGCACUUCGCCUAUAAUUGUACUUCAAAUUCAUCACACGUCUUAUUAACCAACAAUCCUAAGCAUUAUAAUUUGUCGAUACGUUGUGAUAGAUGUUUGGAACAAGAAGCAACGGAAAGCAAAUGGCUUCCCGGUAAAGUGAUAAUAUCAUCCUUUUCCUCGAAGUGAAAAUAUUUCUAAAAUGAAAAGAUGGAGGAGGGACUGAGCUUACUAUUCCAAAUGCAACACCAUUAAAUGCAGUGUGGUACUCGAAGCUCGGAGUCCGGAAUUCUGGAGUAGGAUAUGCGAAGCACAACAGGAAAGAUAGACUUGCCCAGAAGGAAGUAACUGUGAAAUAGGGAGGGGAAAAAAAACCUGAGAAUGAUGCCAUGCUAAGAGGAAAAGAUAGUCUUCAAAUUCAUCAACAAGACGCAAGACAUGAACUAACGCAUACAUAAAACACAGUGAGGAGAUCAUGAUGGAAGUUUCGAUGUACAAACAUACCAUUUUGCCCGGAUAUGAUGAAGUUAUCUACAUAAUCAUGGACAGCAAGCCAAAAGGCGAGGAUGACAAGCCCAAAAACAAUUCCCGCCGCAACAUCGAUCAAGCUAUGCAUGCCCAAAUAUAUCCUUCCUAUAGAAAAGAAGGCAACGGUUUCGUUAAUACAGAAAAGCACGAUAAACCAAUCGUAUUUCUAAAAUUCGCUUGUCCACUUAUCGUUCAAUUCCUCGCUCUUUUCUAUGGUGAUCACAAAUACGAUCGCCAUACAGAUAUAUCGAGAAAUCGUCACAAACAGACUUAACAAAUGAAAGAAACUUUAAAGCUCACCGAUGCCAAUGAGGAUAACGAGCAAGAAAACUAGAGAGAACCCGGCAACAACAGCGACGGUAUCGUUUUGAGGGCUAUUUGUUAGAAUAUAAUGCAAGAGAUAUCUGCAUGAAAUAGCACCAAUAAAAUUAACAUUAAACAAGAAAACUCCACAUUAAAGUUGCAGGGAAAGAAACGAAUCAAAGAAGGAAGAAUAAAUACCCCGAGAGGCAAACGGUGUUGAGAGCAUGCGAAGAAGGCAACCCGUAUUCCGUAGCAUUCUCUUUCUCGUCUUUUGUAGCGGUCACCCUUCUCACCGGAGGACAACUCGGCCGGGGCGCCGAUAUGACAUCCUUUAUCGAUAACAAGAACCAUUCAUUUCAUUUUCAUUGGAUUGAAUAAAUGGAAAGUAAAGUGGCCUCCGAGAAGCAAACAUGAUCUACCUUGACGGAGUUCCCGGUGUAAUCACAAAAGGCCAUCAACAAGGUCAUCUGUCUAGCCAAUUUGCUAUGCCCACUCUACAAAAUUUUCGACAAAUAGCGGAACCCAUUAAAGUUCUUUAUUAUUAUCCCAUAAAUAACACGAAAAAGGAGAGAUCAAAUUGGAACAAGAUGUACCCAAAACAGAAGAGGGAGGAACCCUGUGUAGAAGGGCACUGAGACAACACAAGACAACACAGAGAACAUGUUGUCCAAGUACCUAUGGUGACAUCUCUGCAACAAAUUCUCAAAUUUCACCCUAAAAUCGUCGAAAAAAUGGAAAUUUGUAACUGCUACACCAAUUAAAAUGUAAAAUUUUCAUUCUCACCUGGAGUCGGAGGAUCGAAGGGGUGUCGGCGACGACGCGGCGGGUGACCCACGGCUGCGUGAGGGCUCUGAACCGCCGCGUGAGAUCGAAAGAAGCGGAAGCGCCCACCCAUCCAACGAUCGCCGAGAGGCUCAGCGCUUGCCAAAACGAGAUCCCACCCUCCAUUCCCUCAACACCCACUCCCCCCAACCCCCUUGAACAAAUCUACACAAAACACACAAAAAGCUCCCACCUUUUCAACCGGGGAGAGGAGAAACAAACAAUUCUGGGUUGUGGCUCUGCUUUGGUUUGAUUCCACAAUCUCCUAAUGUUUGAUCAAAUACCCACUUCCCCACUUCAACAAAUCAACACAAAACACACAAAAAGCUCCCACCUUUUUCUUCUGAUCAAAUACCCACCUCUCCCUCCGAAGAGAUCUACACCAAAAAAAUAAAAAAAUAAAAAAACACAAAAAGCUCCUACCUUUAUCGAUCGAUUGAUCAAAAUGGGCAACCUGGACUUCUUUGAAUCAAUAAGAGAGAGCCUUUUGAGGCCUCUUAUUCAAUCCGUGUUUCUAGAAAUCCCUAAACAAAAUAAAAGUCAUCUUUUACCUGGUUUUUUUUUUUUUUUCCUUUGAGAGUGAUGGGGACAUUGGCGUUUGGGUUCGUAUGAGUUUCUUAUGAGGCUAUUAAACGGAGUCAAAAGUUUAAGCCUUUUAAAAACAAGAAAUAGUUAAAAAAGGGGGGAGAGAAUUGAAGAGGGGAAUUGAAUCGGCUGUGAGGGCGAAGAGGAGGGGAAGAAUCCAAGGUGGGGACGGAGAAAGAGGUAGAGGGGGGGGGGUUAAUUGCAUUCGUGAACCCCAAAUUUGGUUUAAUUACAUCCAACUACAUUGUUAUUUGGUAUUAAUUUUAUUUACGAUAUUAUAUAUAUAUAUAUAUAUAUAUUUUUUUUCAAACGCAACAUUAUAUUAUUAUUUUGUUAUGUAGUCUAGAAACUAUAUUUUUAAAUUUAUAUUUUUUUCUAUUUUUAUUUUUUUUAUAAUUAUUAUUAAACUGUUUUUGCUCAUAACUUUUUAUAAUACUAUUAAUAAAUCUAUUAUUUAAGACAAAAUCAACCAAUAUUAUUGUCAAUUUGCAUAAAAAUAUCUACAAAUUUUGAGCUUUUGUAAAAUUGGGUGCAUUUUCCGAUUGUGUUGAUUCAGACCGAAUUUUCAACAAAUUGACCAAAAUACUCUUAUUUCUUUCUCUCUUUCUUUUUCCUUCAUUUUUUUUCCUCUCCGACCUCAUCGCCUCAUCCACCUCCUCCGCGGCCUCAGCAACGGUAAUGAGGGCUGCACCAUCUCCUCUUCCUCCAUCUUCUGCGCCGGUAGCACUCGGCAACAAUAACGAGAGCGAUACCGCCUCCUCUUCCUCCGCCUUCGCUAUAGCCUCCACCCGCGCCGGAGAAGGAGAAAGAGAACUCGAAACGGCCCGCGCCGGAGAAGGAGAAAGAGAGCUCGAAACGGCCCCGGGUGAGGGUGGAGCGGACGGAGGCAAUGAUGUCGUUACUGAGGAGGUGCUCACCACCUGUGAGGGUGAGAAGAAAAGAUGCGUCCAUCUCCAAGGAACAAAUAAAGAUGCAAAGUAUUGAAAAAAAACAUAAGAAUAAAAAGUAAAAAAAAUAAAGAAAAUUUUUUUUCUCUUCAAAAGAUUAUUAUAUAUCAUUGCUUAUACCGAAAAGUCUAAGAAUCAGAGAAGGAAGAAGAAAAUAAAGAUUGCAUUGUGAAAAUAAAAUUACACAGUUUUACACAAAAAAUUACACUGUUUAAUAUGAACGUUGCACUUUUUGAAAUAAAAAUUACACUCUUUGAAAUAAAGAUUUCACUCUUUCGAUAAAAAUUACACUAUUUCAGAGAAAAUUGCACUAUUAUAUAUCCGACCCUCAUAGUCUCAUCAUCAUCUUCUUCUUCCUCUUCUCUUUACCCCUUCCUCCCUCUUCCCUUCCGACCCCCAUCCUCACCAACGCGAGCCUCUCUACCCCGCAUGCUGCAUCGAAGCCUUGAAACACGGAAACGACUUCAUCGUCUCUGUCCGCUCCACUCAAAAUUCGGGCCCCUCCGAGUUCUCCUCCGGUGAUGGUAGAGGCGGAGGAAGAGGAUGCGGAAGUGCCACCCUCUUUAUUAUCGCCGAGGGCCGGCGGGGCCGGCGGGGGAGGAGAUGGAGGAAGAGAAGGUGGCACCGCUCUUGUUACCGUCGCCGAGGGCCGCGGAGAUGGUGGAGGAGGCGAUGAGGGUCGGAGAGAAAAAAAAAAAUGAAAGAAAAAAAAGAAGAAGAGAGAAAUAGGUCUUUUCCGUGUUUCGACAGUUCGAUGCAGCACGCAGGGUAGAGAAGCUCGCAUUGGUGAGGAUGGGGGUUAGAGGAGGAAGGGAAGAAGGGGGUCAAAGGAAGAGAAAGAAGAAGACGAUGAUAAGGCGAUGAUGGUCGAAGAAUAAUACAAUUUUCUAUGAAACAGUAUAAUUUUUUUCAAAAGAGUACAACUUAAUUUUAUCUCAAAGAGUGCAACGUUCAUAUUAAACAAUGCAAGUUUCUUGUAAAAUAGUGCAAUUUUAUUUUAACAGUGCAACCUUCAUCUUUUUCUUUCUUUUUCUCUGAUUCUUAAACUUUUCAGUAACAACAAUGAUAUAAAUGGCCUUUCGAAGAGAAAAUUUUUUUAUUUUUUAUUUUUGCUUUUUCUACUCUCUACAUUUUUGUUCGCUCCUUGGAGAUGGGCGCGUCUUUUUUUCUCACCCUUAUGGGCUGCCAAUGCCGACAGAGGAGGAGAUGGAGGAAGAGAAUGUGGUGCCGCCCUCAUUACCGUCGCCGAGGCCGUGGAGGCAGUAUAAAAGGCAAUGAGGGUCGGAGAGAAAAAAAAAGAACGAAGAAAAAAAAAAAAAAGAGAGAGAAAGAAAUAAGAGUAUUUUAAUCAGUUUGUUGAAAGUCUAAUCCGAAUUUGCAAAAUCAAAAAAAGUGAUCCAAUUUUGCAAAAACUCAAAACUUGUGAAUUUUUUAUGCAAAUUGGCCCAACAUUAUUAAAAGACACUAGUCAAAUAGUAAAACAAUAUAAAAUAAAUUUUCGUAAUAAAGUUAUUUUAAAAAUUUAUCAAGUUAUUUUUAACUUUUUUUAAUAUUUUAUAUAUUUUAUUUUUUGAAUUUAUGAUUUGCCACAUUUAGUUAGCAUUUUUUUAAACAAUUUUCAUCUAAAUUUUAAUUUAUUUCUUAUAGGGUAGGAAAUGAAAAAAAAAAUUAAGUACUAUCUUUCAUAAAAUAAAUAUUGUAAUAUAGAAAGUGGGAAAAAAAAAUGUAUAAUAGAGUAUAGUAUGAGUUAGGCUGGUAUACUAUCGGUAGCACGAGGGCCACCGUGCUAUCAAGUUGUUUUCAAUGAUGUGGCUUCCAAAUCGACGAUCAGUUCCGUUAGACUUGAUCUACACUAUUGAAAGUAUUUAGAAACUAAAUUUCAUAAUUUCUCGACAUCAUUGACCUAUCAAGCGAGUAGUGUAGUAUCCUUGAUUUUGUUUCCUUUUUUUUUUUUGAGUUGGUAAGCUAGCUGUGGAUAAGGAUGCCACGUGCACCUUACCCCCCAUGCAUGCUUAUCAACUUAAAUAUUUGAGGGGGGGGAGGGGGGGUUGCAUUGCUUUAAUUUUUUUUCUAUAUAGUUCUUGAGCCGUACGUGGAGAAGACUUCGGGUGGUGGGGAUCGUCGUCGACGUCGCGCCACGGUACUGUUCGAGGGUACGUUUGUUGUCGUAGUAUUGCGAGGAGGCCGGGCGAGGGUGUGAUUCCGCCAUUCUCGAUGUCGCGUCGGAUUGGGAUUAGCGAUCGAGGUGGGUUUAUCGUCGGUUUGUCUUCUAAGUAUGCAUAUAUAGUCGACAUGUGUUUGUUGUAGCAUUCGGUAUAUCGUCUUUGGCUCAAUUCAUGGAUUCGAUGUAUUCUUUUACAAAUCCGAAUUGGAGCUUAGUAUUGCAUUGUAUUUACUCUUACACAUGUUGGACUUGAAUAUGACUUAGGAGAAAACUGCGAUUUGAAUCUGUCAUAUGUUUAAACUACCUGAUUUAGCUCUAGGAGCCGUUGUUGUUUUUGUAUCGCCACAGUAUCGGCAUGGUGGAUACCCCAGGUAGUUUAGAUUGCUGUUACGCUCGUGCUGGGAUGCCGAGCCUAAUUUUACAGUAGCUUUCAGACAGUUCCGGACUGUUGGAUGCCGUCGGGGUUGACGGUGGACCUGGAUCGCCAUUUUGGCGUUAGAUUGUGCCGAGAGCACGUGAAUUAUGAUUUUUAGACCAGUUAGACCGGUUACUUGACUUUAGCCUGUGAGAGCCGAAUGAGCUCGGCAGAGACACUUGUAAACUCGUAGGUCACGCCCGCGAAUGCCAUUCCGGAAUAAGAUUUCAGUGCGAUGUGUGUCGCGGUUUCUGUUGUAGAGUUCUCGAGCCGGCCACCUAGAGGUGGUGUACGGCGUAGCUGGAUACAGGCAAGGUGGGUCCGUUUCGGCAACCCGGGUGAAAUAGUGAGAUUGAGUCAGUUUUGACAUUUACUGCAGUUGGUUAGAGUAGAGCAGGAUAGUGUAGUGACUUUUAGCUGUAGUUUCUUUUCAGCUUUUCUUACUAUCUUUGCUUCCUCCUGUAGACUUAGUGGGUGGACCGACGGUGUUGAGAGCGGCACCCACUGAGGACUACUUAUUUUUACAGUAGUUCUCACGCCCUGUUGUUACUAUUCUUUUUGCAGAGCCAUCGGUUCCGGCUGCUGCAGCUUUUAAGGCAGAUCGUGGCAAGGGCGUCGCGAGCUAGAGCCCUAUCCGACGAGUCACUGUAAUAGAGGAUCACCCGCUGCAGAUAGUAGUAUUUUGUUUCCUUUCCAGUUUAUGUACAUGCAGCUAUUGUAACUCGCCAGAGCGAGUCCUUUUGUACCGGAUUUUGUGUAUGUCUAUAGAACUGGCUUUUAUCUACCUGUUUAUUCUCAGUACAGCUCUAUACUACUGGUUGUAGUAUUGUUUGUGUUCGGAUACAGCUACGCUUCAUAUACAGGGAAAAUUCUUUGUAUACGGCGGAUUUGUCGACGUGCCCGGGAAACGAGUAAUCCGGGGCGUGACAAGUAGUCUCAAAAUGAACGGUUGAAAUUAAAAAUCUCAUAAAAAAUAAUGAUAACAAACUUGAAUCUAAGAUCAGAGGUACUGAUCUUACUCUAAAUAGUAAAAAUAAUUUUCUAUAAGGGGCUGUUUGGUACGCAUUUGCAACUGCACUAUAGUUACAAAUGUAUGCAACCUCAAUUCUUGUGUUUGGUUUAAUGCAGUUGAGUUCAACUGCUGCAGUUGCAACUGCACGAGAAGCUCCAAAUACUGCAGUUGGAACUACAUCCAAAUUGGCUGCAGUUCCAACUGCAGCAGUUGGUGAGAAAUGCGAUCACCCACAAAUUAACAAUAAUAAAUAAAUUAUAUAUAUAUAUAUAUAGAUAAAUAAAAAUACUUGUAAAUAAACUCAUACUAAUAAAAUUUUUUAGGCAAUACAAGUUUUGUGCAAAAAAAUAAAAUUUUUUAAAUUUAUUUUAUUCAAAAUAUAAAAAAUAAAUUUUUUUUUCUAAAUUUUUAUAGAAUAUGGUUGUGUAUGUCAACUUAAUAAGUUUUAAUUAAUUAUAAUUAUUAAAUUUGGUAAAAAAAAUGAGAGAAUCGUUUAGAUUUUUAAAGUUUGAUUUAUGUAUUAAAAUUAAAUAAAUUAAAAAUUUUAAAUAUGUCAAUUGAUAAGUUGAAGAAUUAUUGAAAAAUAUAAAAAUAUUAUAUAUAUCCACUUAUUUAUUUAUAGAUAGUAAUAUAUAUCAACUUAUUUAUUUAUAUAUAGUAAAUUUAAAUGAUUAAUAAAAUUAUAUAACUAUUUUAUGUAUAGUGAAGGUAAUCUUACCACUCUAUCUAAAGAGGUGAUAAGAUUCACAAAUACAACUAUCAGCUUCAAAUUACCAAAUAGAAUAAAUGCAAUUGCAUCAGUUGCAUCUGCACAAAACCAAACAAACUAUAUAUAAUUACAACGGCUACAUUUUCAACUGUAUGUAUUUUUAACUACACUGUAUUUACAACUACAUCGAACCAAACGGUCCCUAAAAAUUUCAUCAGAUUUGGAUUGUUAUAUACCAUUAAAUUCACAAACAUAUUACAUCUACCAUUAAAAUUGUCAAUUUUGAGACCUUUUGAUCACUAGCCAAAUCAUGUCGAAAAAUUAUGAAAUUUAGUUUUCAAAUACUUUUAAUAGUAUAUAUCAAGUCUAAUGGAGUUGAUCAUCGAUUUGGAAGCCGCAUUAUUGAAAACAACUUAAUAGCACGAAGGGCUCCGUGCUAUCGAUAGUAUACCAGCCUAGCUCGUAUAGUAUAGUAAUAGUGGAAUUAAGCCUCCAAAUAUUUAUCAAAGUUUCCACUUCCCAAAAAUUUAUUCCUCCUUAAGUUUCGAUAAAAAUACCAAAUUAAUUUGUUUUAUUAUACGAUGUUAAUUUUUUUAAUAAAAAAUAAUAAUACGAGUGCUGAAUAAGUUAUUUUUAAAUCGCAUGUAUAUAGUAAACACACGAAUUAGAGCGUCGCAUUUAACAGAAUUGAUGGUUCUAAUUUUUAGAAUAAAACUAAUUUUAACACAAGUAUUCCUUUCAGAUUAGAAAAAGAAUUAAUAUUAAAUUAUUUAUCAAAAAUAAUAACUUAGUUUCUACCGGUUAUUUUUUUGUUAAUAAAUUAUAACGCAACAGACCAAUUUAAUAUAGAGUUAAAUGUAUUUAUAUCUCUGAAAAUAUAGUGAAUUGCAAUAUAUCCCUAUAAAGUUCAACUUUUAUAUAUUGUCCUUACAAAUGUUUUAAUAUUUUCAAAUAUGUUUCUCUGGCUUAUUACCGUUAUACAACUGUUUAUAUUUUAAGUGAAAUUUUAAUUUUGCCAUUACAAAUAUAUCCCUCCAAAAGUUAGAAGGGUAAAAAUGUCAAGUUAUCUCAUAAAUUAAUCAGAAUUAAGUAUUUAAUCUAUGAUUUAUUAAAGUUUUCUAGCGGAUUCUAACGGUAGAGACAUAUUCGAAAAUAUUAUAAUUGUUAUAAAAACAAUAUAUAAAACUUGAAUUUUAUAGAAAUUUAUUUAUAAUUUACUAUGUUUACAGAAACCUGUAUGAGAUUAACCCUUUAAUGUCUUAGUACAAAUUCAAAAAAAUAUUUCUAAAAGAUAGAAGCCUCUUCGGCAAAAGUUGAGGGGCUAAUAGUGCAAUUAACACCAGAGAUGGAGGUCCCUGAGCUUGUUGGUUUUUUACUUUUACAAUCUAGUGUUUAAUUUCAAUUAAAAAAAAAUGCAUGGAGAGACCCUCAACUAAUGCCUUUUUCUAGUGUCCCAUUCAACUUUAUUAUUAUUUUUUAAUAUCUUUUGGAAAAUUCUCUUAGAAAUAUAUAUAAGGUAUUCUCCGGGUAAUUCAAAUCGAAGUAAUUUGAUGUCUGACUCAGGCCUAUAUGACCGAUCGAUAGAGAUACUCUAACACUCCACCUUCGUCAUAUAUUCCAUAUAUCACAUUAGAUAGAUAUUAUAUUCAUGAAAUACGAUUCACUUUCAAAAUGCCUUGAUGGUAGAUGAUGAUGCUAGAACUUAGAAUCUACUUUCAGUACAAUAUUAUCUUAAAAAUCGAUCUAAUAAACAAUAGACAAAAAAUAUAUUUAACAUAAAUAAUUUUAGCUAAUUAUAUUAGCAAGAUAAAGCCUUUUGCUCUAUCAAAUUUACUCGUUUGAGUUAUAAACUUAGUAAAAUUUUUUAGUUUAACUAACUAGAAUAACUUAGAUUAAAAAGAUAAAAACUAGAAGAGUCUCAAUAAAGAAGAGGGUAAAGAGCUGAGGGGCGUUUUCAAAAUCGACUAAUGUUGAGGGGUUCUCCAUUUAUUUUUAACAAUUAAGAUUGACCUUAUUAACAGAGUAUUUUGAUUAAUAAUUAAGAAGUUCAAAUUUGCAAUAUGAAAUAUAUCAAUUUAAUGAAAUAUGAAUUUUUUCUCAAACUCGAUGAAGUUGAAAACUUUGUUAAAUUUAACCACUCCUACAGAGAUUAAUUAUUUUAUUAUUUUAACUUAUUUUGCUAAGAAAUAAUUGGCGUGACUAAGUUGGAUAGAAUUAUGAAUAAAUUUGAUAAGAAUCCUAAUUUAUAUGACUAAAAUUAAUUAAUUUUAACAUAAUAAAAGAAUUUUAAAAAAGUGUUAGUAAACAAAUUUAUAAAUCCAGGGUUGUUUCAAAAUUUUCUAUAGUUGAGGGGUGCUUCAAGUGUUUUUGCCAAUUUAAAUAUUUAAUUUGACCUCUUUAGCCGCGUACUCUGAUUGACUUGAAAAACCAAGAGCCGGCGAAGAACGCGAGUUUUCCGCUGGACCGGGGCCACGAAUUGGGGAAAUCGUUCCAUGGACCGCAUCCAUGGACCGCCGUCUAUGGACAACUACUUCACGGGGACCCAUCAUCAUCAGGAUUCAGGAGAAAUGGUUACAAGUCUCUGAUAAUAAAAUGCUGCGUUAGUGUUGACACCUAAUUUUUAGAUCGAGACGUGAACGAACGAAUUCGGAGAAAACACGUGGGGAUCGCCGAAAAAAGGAUUUGGUAAAGGGGUUUUGCUUUGGUUAAGAUUUUGAAAAAAAAAAAAAAGAUUUUGAAAUGAGACAUACCGAAGAUCAUUGCAGUAAAAGCUUCAGCAACGCUUAACAAUUCGAGUUAGGAUCGCCUGAGAAGUUUUUUUUUUUAAAAAUAAAUAGAAAAUGCCCGAAAAGUCUACAAAAAGAUGCACAAUUAGGAAAUACUUAAGAACGUAUUUGGUUUUAUCUUACCAGGAUUACUAUAUUUGAUUCAUACACUCUGUGAUCUGGUCAUUAAUGUAACAUUUCAGAGAUGAGGAUUACUUUAAUAACAUUACCGAACAGAAAUGAUUUUUUUGUUUUACUGAUUACUGGUUAUCUUGUAUGUUACUUAAAAUUACAAGUUUCUCCCUCAAAUUUCUCAAAUAAUUUGAUUCAAAAAUCUCAGAUUUUGAUUUAGAAAUCUUAGAAAUUUAAUUAUAUCAAAAAAAUCUAUAAUAUUAUAUAAUGCGAAUCAAAUGGGUCCGCCCCUAUAAAUAAAGCGAGUUAUCUCGCGAAAAUCAUUCUGACUACAGCUAAUUCCUCAUUACAACUCAUUAAGGCUACUCCGCAUGCGAGACGAAGUGUACAAAUCGUAGAGCGACAUGUGUCCAACCAGCAGUUAACCCUCGAAUACUUAACGUACCGUUUGGUUCGGGUAUAAACAAGAACUAGCUAUUACAGGGAUAGGUACAAGUAUGGGAAUAGGAAAAAUAGCGUUUGGAUGAAAAUUGGGUUGUUCCCGAGGAUAAGAAAAAUAUUAGGAAGUGUUAUAUAGAAAAUGGAGGUGUUGGUGGGGAUAACCGAGAACUACUAUUCUCGAGUAAAAAAUUAGCGUUUGGGUAUAAAGGGGGGGAUAAGGGCCUAUUCCUAUCCCUAUUCCCUAAAUAUAUAUAUUUAAUUAAUAAAGAAUAAUAUUUUGAAUAUUUUUUAUAUUCAUUAGUUUCUUAUGUUUGAGUCGAAGGCUUUUCAUAAACUCUAAAAUUCCGAUGAGAUUCGAACACAAAACUUUCUUACUCUUCUGUAUCAAGUAAAACAAGUAUGUAGAAAUUGAGAGAUGAGGAGCACUGCAAUCAACAUAUUUAGAAUAGAUAUUAUAUUUGGUCUUCAAUUUUUCGAAAUGAGAUAAAUUGUCUCGUAAGUGAAAUAUAUUAUCUUACAAAAUCACAUAAUAUCAAAGCAUAUUAGGAAGCCAAAAAAAAAAUCCUUUCAAUCAUACAAAAAUAUUGCUAUAUCAAAUAAACUAUCACUGAAUAACUUAUUCUGACACUUAAACAAGAUCUGAAAAUUUAAGCGAUUAGAAAAAUAUAAUUUUUAACAUUUUAUAGUCAAUAUUAUAUAAGAUAAAGAUUUAUUUUGAUUGGUUUAUAUAAGCAAUCUUCUUAAAUAGAUAAAACUAUCAUAACAAUGUAAAAAAGAAAUCCUAAAAAAUUUUAUUGAGCGAUUUUGGAGCUCAAAAUCUUAUUUUAACUUUUUGUCGGCAACUGAAGCAGCAGUGGUGAAGAACCUAAUACUGCACCAAAAAGUAGAAACGGAAACAAUGAAUGAGGCUAGUGUAAUUGUAUAUUAUUAGUUAUAAUAUAAUAAUUUAGCUUAUUAGCACUAAUAAUUCGUUGCACUCUAAAACAUCAGCUUAUAAUAUUUAAGCUUAAUUAUUAAUAUUAAAGCCUCUAUUUCUUAUAUAUUCAAUUAUAAACGGUCAAAAGUGAUAAUCGUUAACUCAACUGCAGCUUCUUGACUUCUCCUCAGCAGUAGAUCAAAUUAAACAAUUUAUUCAAAAGCGAAUGUCGAAUGUCGUCUCCACCACGGCAAUUGGAAAUAGACUCAAUGCAAACCACGUGCGUCACAAAUCUAGUUUGCAAAGUUGGUAUAUAUGAGUAACAUGCGGCACCGAUAACUUUAUCUAUCAGAUAAGACCAGUGUGCAAUUAUAGAGCCAAUUGAAAGAGCUGUGUAACAAGCUCUAAUAUGAUAGAUCGACACACACCUUAAGAAGAGUUUCGAUUAGUUUUCAUACGUAAUUUACCGAUUGUUCCUAGAACAAGUGGCAAAGGACUUGAUGGUUAGUACCCGAUGUCCUAAGUUCGAAUCCUAGCUAGUUGAUUCACAUUCCAGCUAAGUUUAUUUCUAAAUGAAAUAAAUUGAAGUGGAUAACAUGCUACCUAUCUCUCAAAAAAAAAAAAAAUUUUUUUUCAUACAUAAUUUGAAGGUAUUGUAUAAAUUUAUCAGUAUAUCAACAGCUCAUAACUAUUUCUUCUCGCACAUUCGAAGCAUUCAAGAGCAUUAGUUAUUUCGGACUACUAUAUAUCCAAGACAUGUGAUGACAUUCAUUUUAAGAGCAGGAUUAGUGUACUGUGAGCUUUUAUUUUGUCUGGGAGUUAAGGGCGUGGUCAUUAAAUACCAGAACAAGUGGGUACGAAGAGAACAAGUCUAAUUAAGUAAUGCAGCAGUAGUACAUGCAUUAAUUCAACAACUUACCAGGCGAAUUUAUUUAUGCCAUUAUUAUAGAGAUAUAUACAAGCAUACUGCUCAUUUAUCAAUUGCCCCAUGCUCUUUGAAGUAAACAAUAUAUAUAGAGAGAGAGAGAGUGAGAUUACUAUACUUCUGGAAGCACGGAGCCUUUCCUGCUUUCAGGUUGUUUUCGAUGUUGCGACUUUCGAAUCGUCGAUUCGCUCCAUUAAACUUGAUCUAGAUUAUUUGAAGUACCUAGAAAAUAAAUUUUACAAUUUUUCGAUAUCAUUUGCCUAGUGAACGAAGGGGCUCAAAAUCAACGACUGAAAAUAAAAAUCAUACAAAACAUGAUAAAAUGACAUUAAAAUUUUAGAUCAAGAUAUUGAUCUUGUUUUAUAUAGUAUAAAAAACUUUCUAUCAAAAUUUCAUGCGAUUUGGAUAUUUCUACACCGUUAAACUGGCAAACAGCUUACUACGACUAUUAAAAUCAUUGAUUUUGAGCCCAUUCGAUCACUAGGCAAAUGAUAUCGAAAAACCAUAAAAUUUAAUUUCUAGGUAUUUCAAAUACUCUAGAUCAAGUUUAACGGAGCCGAUCGACGAUUCGAAAGUCACACCAUCGAAAACGACCUAAAAGCAUGAAAGGUUCCAUACUUCCAAAAGUAUUGUAGCCUCACACACACUAUAUAUAUAGAACUAGGCUACUAUGCUAUUAAUAGCACCAAGUCAUUGGUGCAACCAAGUUUUUGGCCAUUAGAUUAAGAGAUGUGCUGUUAGGAUGAUGUGGGCCCCCUAGGGUUGAGUAAGUGGUUGGUUGAAUAGUAUGAUCUACCGGGUGAAAAUGAUUAAAAAGGUAGAUCUAACGGCGAAAAACUUGGUAGCACCAAGUGCUUCGUGCUAUUAGUAGCCGGACUAGAAUACUAUCGAUAGCAAACGGGCUCCGUUGCCACCCAUUUAUUUUCGCUGAUGGAGCCUUCAAAUCGAUGAUCGGCACCGUUGAACAUGAUUUAUACCACUUGAAGUGUUUAGAAAUCAAAUUUCAUACAUUUUCGUCAUUGUUCUCUUAUCCAUCGAGUGAACACAAAAAUAAACGGCUGAAAAUGAAUAUUCUUUAAAAAAUGAUGAUAGGAGUCUUGUAAUCAAGAUCAAGAGUAUAGAUCUUGUUUUAAAUAGUUUACAAAAUUUUCUAACAAAAAUUCAAUUGAUUUGGAUAUCUUUACGCCGUUAAACGAGAAAAUGCCUUAUAUCGACUAUUAAAAUUACAAAUUUUGAAACCCUUUGAUCAUUAGGCAAAUGAUAUAAAAAAGAUUUGAAAUUUGAUUUCUAAACACUUCAAGUGGUAUAGAUCAUGUUCAACGGUGCCGAUCGUUGAUUUGAAGGUUCCAUCAUCGAAAACAAAUGGGUGGCAACGGAGCCUGUUUGCUAUCGAUAGUAUUCUAACUUCACUUUCUCUCUCUCUCUCUCUCUAUAUAUAUAGAGAGAGAGAGAGAGAGAGAGUUAAGGUAGAAUACUAUUAGUAGCAAACGAGCUCCGUUGCCACUUAUUUAUUUUUAAUGAUGGAGAUUCUAAAUCGAAUAUCGGUAUUAUUGAACAUGAUCUAUACCACUUGAAAUAUUUAGAAACAAAUUUUCAUAUUUUUUCAAUAUUGUUCUUUUGUCCAUCAAGUGGACACAAAAAUGAACGGCUGAAAAUAAAAAUUCUUUAAAAAGUGAUGAUAGAAAUUUUGUAAUCAAGAUCGAGUGUAUAGAUCUUAUCCUAAAUAGUUUAAAAAAUUUUCUAACCAAAAUUCAACUAAUUUAAAUAUCUUUACACCAUUAAGCAUGAAAACGCCCUAUAUCUACUAUUAAAAUUUCAAAUUUUGGAACUUUUUGAUCAUUAGGUCAAUAAUGUUGAAAAAAUUUAAAAUUUGAUUUUUACAUACUUCAAGUGGUAUAGAUCAUUCUCAACUGUGCCGAUCAUCGAUUUGGAGGCUCCAUCAUAAAAAAUAAAUGGUUGGCAACGGAGCCUGUUUGUUACCGAUAAUAUUCCAGCUCGACCUCUAUAUAUAUAGAUAGAGAGAGAGAGAGAGAGAGUUGGGCUAGAAUACUAUUGAUAGUAAAAAGUUCUUUUUGCCAUCAAGUUUUUAGCCUUUGAAUUAACUCAUUUCAUCAUUUCUAAUCAUUGGAUUAAAUAUUAUAACCCAGUAGGGACCACUCAACCCUAAUGGACUAAUAUCAUCCUAACCCUAUAAUUUCUCAUCCAAGGGUUAAAGCUUGAUAGUAAAAAGGGUCUUUUGCUAUGAAUAGUAUUCCAGCUCAACUCUCUCUCUCUCUCUCUCUCUCUCUCUAUAUAUAUAUAUAUAUAUACUAAAUAAAAUAUUUAUGCAUCGAAAAAUUAUUAUCAAUAACAAUUUAUUACUAUUAUUAUCUAUUAUUUAUUACUAUAUACUAAAGUGCAUUGGACAGUCUUCUUUUAUUGACAUGUGUCCGGCUCCACUAUUCGGUAGACCCGGUGCAUCGUAGACUAUUGAUUGUAGACGUAUAAAUGGUCUAUGGAAAAAUCUUGGGUGCAUCUGAUUUAUUCUUUUUCUACAUUAAAGGAGGGUUUGGGGAUGACACGUGUUCCCCAAAACCCUCCUCUCUACUCUUUCCCUACCUAUAUAUAGGUUUUAAAAUUUUAUAUUAUAAAAUUUUAUAUCACGCCCCGGAUUACUCGUUUUUUCAGGCACGCCGACAAAUUCGCUGUAUACAAAGAAAUUUUUUCUGUAUACGAAACGAUAGCUGUACUUGUACCUGUAAUCAUACAAAACUACAACUAGUAGUAUAGAGCUGUUGAUGAAACUGUAAACAUAGGAAAAUAAAAAUUGGGUUCACUAUACAUACAUAGUGACAAGAUACAACAUCACUCGCUCGAGCGAGUAUCUAACAUCAGUAUGUACAUGAACAAAAAACCAAAGUUACCUGUAGUUGGUACUCCUCUAAAACAGCAGCAUAAUUGGAAGGGAUCUAGCUCGUGACUCUCUUUCCAUGAUCAGGGUCAGUAACAGCAGCAGCCGCAGAAUAUGGCUUUGCAAAAAGGGGUCAACAACUGGGUGUGAGAACUACUGUAAAAAGAAGUAGUUCUCAGUGGGUACCGCUGCCGACCUUAACGGCUCACCCACUAAGUUUACAUAAAGUAUGCUCAAGAAUAGUAAAGAAAGUUGGAAAAACUCUACAGCUAUAUACCACUAUACUGUCACUAACCAACACUAACUAUUUGUAGAUUUAAUAAUGCAAUCUCUGACCCAAUCUCACUAGGGACCUGUCGAAACCCUAGAGAGAGAGAGAGAAAACAACAAAUAAAAUCUCCCUCUCUGUCUCUUCAUACAUAUAUACAUGGUGGGGAUAAGGGUGAAGUCCACGAUGCAUCAAUUGACCAAAAGGCCCCUCACCUACCGUAGACUACCUAUACCAGCUCGACGCCAUACCAGUACCCAGCAGCAACAAUCGCAACCCGAGAGCAGCAUUUGGAAAAUUCCUCUGGGGUAUCGGUACUUCCCUGCGUGGUACCGGUACUCAAUACUGACAACCUGUACUUUGCAGAUUUCAGUAUCAAAACCCUCCUCUUGCGUUUCACUGAAUCCGUUUUGCGUCUAUUUCACAUCAAAACAACUCGGACUUGUUUCGACACUCUCCAGAUGUGUCGGCAAGCCUUAGAUGCUGAAAUCUCACGGCUGCAGAACCCAAGGAUAAUACAUUUUAAAUUUUGACAUAGUGUCCGGCUCCACUACUCGGUAGACCCGGUGCAUCGUAGACCAUUGAUUGUAGACAUAUAAAUGGUCUAUGAAAAAAACUUGGGUACAUCCGGUUUAUUCUUUUUCUAUAUUAAAGGAUGGUUUGGGGAUGACACAUGUUUCCCAAAACCCUCCUCUCCUCUCUUUCCCUACCUUUUAUAUAGGUUUUAAAAUUUUAUACUAUAAAAUUUUAAAUUUUGGAUACUGAAAUUCUAAUUUAUUCUUUAAUUUUGGAUAUAAAAUUUUAAUUUUAAAUUUUGGAUAUUCCCGAGCCAAACGCUACCUUAGAGUACUCCAUUUUUUUUUGUCAUUUAUCUAUUUUAAAUCUAAAUUUUAGAACAAAUCACAUCUAAUUUCUUCACUUUGAUGCUUAAUUGUGCUAAAUUUAGAAAUUUUUUACAAAAUUAAAUAUAUGUUUAUACAUUCUAAAAAAAAUUAUGAAGUCACUCAGUUAAAAACCUACGAAUCAAGUAACUACUUUUUAUUUUAUUAUAAUAUUUUUAAUUCUCCAUAUUAUUUGUAUGGGUUGACAAAAAUGAUGUGAAUAAAAUUAGAAGAAUAAGAAUUUAAAAAAAAUACAAAAAAAGAACAUGUAUUUUUGAGCAAACUGGCCUAAGAGUAAGCAUAUUACAAAUUUUUUCCUUUUGCUUUAGAAAAUUUUGAAAAUUUACGGAACCCUGAGAAUUUAGAUAGAAACUAUCAAAUUCCUAGAGAUAAAAUCUGUAAUAAAAUUUUAUAUUUUGUAAUCAGAUGUUGAUACAAAUAUGUAUUUAAUAGAUAUAUUUAAUAAAAAUAUAUAGUAUAUUUUAUAAAUAGAAUUAAGAACAUACCUGUCGUACCCGCCGCAAUGCACAGGUACAUUGCUAGUUGUGUCUAAGCAAGCAUCUCUUUUGCACUAUUUUCUUUCUCCUUUAUUCAGAGUGAAUUUAAUUUUAGAAGGCAACUCAAUGCAUCUUCUUUAUGAAAAAUCUUGGAAAGAAUGCCAGUUUUUUUUUUUUUUUUUUUUCCUUGCUCUUCUAUGCCAUGUAAAACAACACUUUGCCUUUAAGUAGAGAUAUAAAAUGGGCCGGACAGCCCAGGCAUGACUAUGGGCCGGACUGAGGCAUGUCGCGAGUACUGCAGCCUGCUAUUUUGGGCCGUACUGAGCUGCUCCUGUUAGGUCUGUCGGCUUGGCACGGCCCUUUUCGAAGCGGGCAUGGGUAGUGCUAGGCUGUGGUGCCAGGCUAGGAGGCAGCCCGGCACCGCCCAUGCCCGAUGGGAGAAGAAGGAAGACGGAAAAAAAGAGAAAAGAAGAAAGAAGUGAAAGAACAAGUUGGAGGGCAGAAUACCACAGGAAAAAAAAACGAAUUUAUGGCAUCAUUUGCAUUUAAAAUGUUAAUUAUAUACAGUUUUAUGUAAACAUAUUGAAUAACAAAUAUAUCUCUAUAUUCAACUUUUUAUAUUUAUCUCUUCAAAGGUUCUAACGUUUUCAAAUAUGGCUCUACUAUUAAGAUCCGUUAGAAAAUUAUAGUUAACUAUAGGUAAAAUACUUAAUCCUUGUUAGUAAAUGAGAUAAAUUAACCAUUUUAUCUCUUUUAUAUUAUUUGUGAUGUCAGAAAAAAAGAUAAUCAUUUAAAAUUUUUAAGAGGAUAUUUCUUCAUAAUUCUAACAGUUGGGACUUUAGAAAAGAUAUAUUUAUGAUGACAAAAAUAUCAUUUCACUUAACUUCUGUUAAAAAAUAAAUUGUUGCGUACACCCAAUAUUAUUUGCACCGAAUCUACUUUUUAAUAAUUAAUAUUGCAAAAUCAAAAUCUACUUUUAUAUAUAUGUGUGUGUGUGCGCGCGCACGCAUGCGUGCGAUUUAUACCAUGUAAAAAAAAACAUAUGUAUGAAAAAUUAAAAAAUUGAAAACUCGCAUCUAUGAAUCGAUGUAAAAGUAUUAUAAAGCUAUAAAGUUUAGAUGAUGCCUAUGGGUCAAAUGUGUUAGGCACUGUCCUAAAAAUAAAAUUAUUCCUCCACAUGCGAAUCUUUGACAAUCACUUCUAGUGAUAUAAUGAUCACAAGCUACUCCGUGGGAACAUAUUCAAGAUAAUGCAUGUGAACCAAAACUUUUUUUUUUUUGAGAUCUAGCAAAUAGAGUAAAGUUUAAAGAAUUAGUAAAGCUCAAUAGAGUAAAGCACUUUUAUUGUAAUAAAAGUUUUUAUUUAAUAAGAGGCAUAAAUAUGAUUUGAUUGUCUAUGGUAGAAUGUCUAUUUUCUCAUUUGGAGUUAAAUCGUUAGAUUUGAUUUUUUUUUUUUUUUUUUUUUUUUUUCCAUCUAAGUAAUUGAGUGUGUGAGCAAAUGUCAUAACAGAAUAACCAAAAGUGGGGUAUUCAGAGCAUCUCUCUCUUUUAUUAGAAAUUGCCCAUCAAUUCAAUCCCAGGAUUUAUUAGCUUUCCUGACCAAACAACAUUACAAUAUUGAGUAGUCACUAGUGGAAGUGUUCCUUCGCUUUUAAAAUGGCAAGUGCAUCAUCUUGUACUCUCAGCAUUGGUCAGGCGAAGACUAAGCAGAAGAGACUUUCAAAUCAACCAAGCGUCUAUUUGUUUUAGUAUAAGUGAAGUGAUAGAACUCAAAUUUCAUCACAUUCGUUAUUUGUUUUGGUGUAAGUAAAAAAUAUAAUAUAACUUAAGUUACGUUAGACCUCCACUUCACCUAUCCUCGACUUUUUAUUCUAAAGUGCCGAACUUGACUUCCGCCACACUCAACCCCCUCUAAAAAAUUUAUUGAAUAGUAAAAUCUAAACUCUAUUUUCUUUAUAAUGGGUUAGAAUUAUCUUAUUUAUAAUAAAUUAGGAUUACUUUUAAAUGAUAAUAAAAAAUUUAAUUAUAUAAUAGGUUAAAUUUUAUAGCGGUAAAUUUAUUAUUAUAUUUAAGAGAUAACGAGAUCCACUUAUUUACAUCAAAACAAACAACGAAAUUCAAAAAACUAAUUUUACCAGUAUCAAGUUAUAUCGAAACAAACAGAAAAAGUAAUUAAAUUUAACUUUCAGACUGUACGAGUUACGUCAAGACAAAUAGCAAAAAAAUAAUCACAAUUCAGAAAAACUCAAACACUAUUGCAUUUGACUUAUGUUGGAUUUACAGAUUCGUCAAUCCAAACGGCCCCUAAAAGAAAAGAAAAAGUUCAUAUGCAUUUGUACUCACAACAUGCAUCACAUGCUCUCAAAUAAAUCCUACUAUGCACAAUACUCAAUAUACACGCAUGCUAAAAAAUAACACUUUAGAUAUAAAAGAAAAUCUAAUGAUUUUGAAAAGCACCACCCAUCUCGUAUGGUUGUAAGGGUAUUACGGUUCAGUUCUUAGAAUUUUUGGGCACCUAUUCUCUCGCCUGCGGUAAAACGAAGCCAAAUUAGAAUUUUUACCCAAAAUCAUUAUUUAGACUCGUCGGAUCGCCGAACCGAAUUCAUAUAAAGGUAGAAAUACCUCUAAUUUACAAGGUCAAUUUAUUUUUAAACCACUCUAGGGCAAAAGCCCCAAUUUUGGUGUCCUAAUAAUGCCAUUUGUUCAAUCUCUUGGUUUGAUCUCUAAAACAAGCAAAGUAAGCUUGUUCAACAUCUAGAAGUUCAUCUAGAAUCUUUUCUAAGCCAUUCAAAUCAUUUCUAGGGCAUACAAACCGAGCCCUAGAAAUCCACUAUGGGAGCAUACGAAGAAAACUUAAUUUUUAUGUGUUCCAUGGCCUGUAGAAGGUUCCUACACUUGUAAAAAGGUCAAAACCAAAAAUCUAGGGUAUAAAAUCCAAGCUCUAACCUUAGUCUUACAAGAAAAUCUCACUUUUACCCAAAACCCUCCAAGGUCCACCUUGUAGGAGAGCUUCCAAGCCUUCAAAACUCCAAAAAUCUCCCCCAAAUCCUUCUCCAACUACUCCUCUUAGCUCCUUGGAGAGAUCUCUAGAGAGAGAAAGAGAGAAAUGAGAGAGAGAGGGGUGCUUGCUAUUGUGAACAGGUGGGAGGGGUGUGUGGGGUCUUAUAUGGGUUACCAAAUUGCAAAAAGAUCCUCCGAAUAUUUAUAUUUGCAGCAAACUUAAUUCUGCUGCAAAGGACAUCUUGUACCGAUACAAGGUGGUUUGUCACCGGUUACACGAUUUCGCAGAACCAAACCCGAGAGCUGCUAUUUUAGGUAUUACACUUGGUACCGGUACAAGAAGGAUUUGUUACCAGUUCAACAGCCUUUUUUUCUCAAAUCCGAGAACUGUUUCUCUCGGUCUGAUGCCUGGUACUGGAACAAACUCAAUGCAUUAUCGGUGACAAAAACUCCAGACUGGAGUUUUGCACCGUUUUCGACUCCAAUUCGUGCUGAUCAAUGCUAAAACCUUUCUAACUCUUCUGGAAUUCACUUUUAACCCUUCCAACAUUGUUUGAAUAUUAAAUUGACUUUCUCCAACUAUUUCUUUCGGACACUUUAAUCGAUUUGGCUAAAGUCCGAAACACUCUACCGAAGUUUCGGUAUAUUACAUUCUCCACCCUUUAAAAUUAAUUUCGUCCGCGAAACUAAAACAUACCUUAACUCAUCGACUCGAAUAAGUGAGGAUAAACCUUCCUCACCGUCUCCUCAAGCUCCCAAGUGGCUUCACGCACCGCUUGAUUACUUCACUGGACCUUGACAUAGGGAAUUAUGCGAUUUCGCAACUUUUUUUCUUCUCUAUCGAGAAUACAUAUCGGAUAUUCUUCAUAAGUCAUAUCCUCGCUCAACUCCACCGGUUCAUAUUUCAACACAUGAGUCGAGUUUCGUAUAUACUUGCGGAGAUUUGAUACAUAAAAUACAUUAUGAACUCCCGCAAGCCUUGGUGGUAAUGCUAGCUUGUAUGCCACCGCGCUGACGCGUUCCAAUAUUUCGAACGGUCCAACAUACCGGGGAUUUAGUUUCCCACGGAUUCCAAACCGCUUAACUCCACACAUUGGCGAUACCUUAAAAAAUACGCAGUCUUCAACCGCGAACUCUAGAUCUUUCCUCCGCUUGUCGGUAUAGCUCUUUUGCCGAAAUUGCGCCGUAGUAAGCUGUUGCUGGGUGGGGCGAACUUUCUCCUCCACCUCCCGCACUACAUCGGGGUCAAGAGCAACUCUCUCGUCCACAUCGCUCCAAUGGAUAGAAGAGCGACAUUUCUUUUCAUAAAGUGCAUCGAAUGGCGCCAUCGCAAUACUUUCUUGAUAACUAUUAUUGUAUGCGAAUUCCGCCAUUGGUAGAUAAUCAUGCCAUCCACCCUUAUAAUCAAGCACACACGCCCGUAGCAUAUCCUCAAGAAUUUGUAUUGUUCUCUCCGAUUAACCAUCACUUUGAGGAUAAAAUGUCGUAUUAAAGUCGAGCCGUGUGCCCAAAGCGUCUUGUAGGCUCAUCCAAAAGUGAGAUGUGAAUCUCGGAUCUCGAUCAGAUACCAUAGACACCGGAACCCCAUAAAGUUUCACAACCUCGUCGAGAUAUACUUGAGCCAACUUGUCUCCCGACCACGUAGUAUGAAUCGGCAAAAAGUGCGCCGACUUCGUCAACCGGUCCACUAUCACCGAACUUGUAUCGUAUCCGCCUUGUGAUCGAGGAAAACCGGUCACAAAAUCUAUUGCGAUAUCCUCCCAUUUUCAAACGGGUAUAGAUAGACUUUGCGACUUUUUCGCCGGAAACGGAUGCUCCGCUUUCACUUGUUUGCACGUAAGACAUUGCGCUACGAAUUCUCCAAUAUCUUUCUUCAUGCCCGGCCACCAAUAGUGCACUUUUAAAUCUUGAUACAUUUUAGUGCCGCCCGGAUGAAUACUAUAGGGGGAUGGAUACGCUUCUUGCAUAAUCGCCUUACGAAUAUUCUCGUUUUUAGGCACACACCAUCGAUUUCGAAAUCGAAGUGCGCCAUUGGUCCCAAUGCUGAAAUUUUCAGUACUACCGCUUUUAACUUCAUCGCACACCUUUUGGAGAUAUUCAUCGGAAGCUUAUAACUCUUUUAUUCUCUCCAACAAGGUCGGUUACACAACCAACAUGGCAAGUGUAACUGGCAUUCCCGGAGCUACUGCUUCUAGACCAAGCCGUUGCAUCUCUUUUUGCAAUAACGGUUGGGGUGUAAUUGUCGAAGCCAAGUUUUUUUUUCGAUUUUCUACUAAGUGCAUCGGCCACGACAUUCGUUUUUUCAGGGUGGUAUAGAAUAGUAACAUUGUAAUCUUUUAGUAACUCUAACCACCGCCGUUGUCGCAUAUUUAACUCUUUUUGGGUGAACAAGUAUUUGAGACUCUUAUGAUCCGUGUAAAUCUCACGAUGCUCACCGUACAAGUAAUGCCUCUAUAACUUUAGCGCAAAUAUCACCGCGGCUAGCUCGAAAUCGUGAAUCGGGUAAUUCUUUUCAUAAUUCUUCAAUUGGCGAGAAGUAUAAGCUAUCACUCGACCAUUUUGCAUUAAUACACACCCGAGACCAACAUAUGAAGCAUCACUGUACACAAGAAAGCUCUCCCCCUGCGUCGGUAGAGCAAGCACCGGGGUCAAUGUCAAUCUUUUCUUUAACUCCUCGAAGCUCUGAUCGCAAUCGUCGCUCCACACAUACUUCACUCCUUUAUGCGUGAGGUACGUUAGCGGAGUGGUUAUUUUGGCGAACCCCUCCACGAACCGCCGGUAGUAGCCCGCUAGUCCAAGAAAACUGCGGACCUCCGCAACACUCGUCGAGCGAGGCCAAUCUUUAAUUGUCUCUACUUUCUUUGGAUUUACCGAGACUCCAUCGCCCGAUAUCACAUAGCCUAAGAAAGUGACAUCCGAAAGCCAAAAGUCAUAUUUAUUCAACUUGGCAUAUAGCUUCUCUUUCCAAAAUAUUUGCAACACGGUACUCAAGUGUUCCUCGUUUUCUUCCUCACUCCAUGAAUAAACCAACACGUUGUCAAUGAAUACUACGACGCACCGGUCUAACAACAGUCGAAAGACUCGAUUCAUCAAGUCCAUAAAUACUACCGGGACAUUAGUAAGCCCAAACGGUAUUACCGUAAACUCAUAAUGGUCAUACCGUGUAUGAUACGUCGUUUUGUGCACAUCUUUGGGCCGUAUCUUCAAUUGAUGAUACCCCGACUGAAGAUCUAUCUUUGAGUACAGCCGUGACCCUUGCAACUGAUCGAAUAAAUCAUCAAUCCUCGGCAACGAGUACUUAUUCUUAAUUGUCACUUUGUUCAAUUUGUGGUAAUCCACGCAAAGUCGAAAUGUGCCAUCUUUUUUCUUUACAAAUAGCACCGAAGCUCCCCACGGUGACACGUUCGGCCUCACAAAUUCUUUAUUGAGCAAGUUUUGCAACUGUGCUUUUAGCUCUUUUACCUCCCCCGGUUUCAUUCUAUACGGAGUCUUCAAAAUUGGCGCCGCCCCGGAAAUCAAAUCAAUAAUGAACUCGAUCUCUCAGUCCGGUGGCAAUCCCGAUAACUCUACCGAAAAUACAUCCGAAAACUCGUACGCCACCCGAAUAUCACCGAGUUUCGGGUGCUCCUUUUGAGCUUCCACCAUUGUCGCCAAGUAGGCUACAGAUCCACCCUAAAUUAUUUUCCUUGCCCUCGCCGCUGAUACAGUCGCCGCGAAGCGCGAGCUUUUACAUCCCCGAUGCACUAACUCCUCUUGGUUAGGCUGACGGAAUGUGAUCACCUUACUUUCACAAUCUAUAACGGCAUAGUAUUUAGAGAGCCAAUCAAUCCCCAAAAUUACGUCGAAGCCCCACAUUCGAUUCAAUACUAGCAAGUCCGCCGGCAUAAUCUAUUCGCCUAUCUGAACAAGACGAACCAAACACUCCUCAUGCACACUAAAUGAAUGCUCAGAUGCAUUAAGCUACCAAUAAUCCGGGUUAUAGCUGAUCUCUAUGCCAUGAGUCUUAGCAAAUGAUGCACCUAUAAAUGAAUGCGAUGCAUCUGUAUCGAACAAUGCUCUAGCUCUAAUGCCAUUAAUCAAGAUAAUACCUGCCAUGACAUCGUCAGGAACUGCAGGCUGCUCUUCCAUCUAAGUGGCAAAAAUUCGCCCACUCGGUGCUCUAGAUCUCUCCGGCUGACGCGGUACUGAUGAGCGUCCAGCCGACAUAGCCGAGGGCAACCCCGCAAGCUGUCUCGGGGUGGAAGGAACUGAUGCCGCCGUCGGUGCAGACGACCCCCAACUCGGGUACUCCCAGGCCAUAUGCUCGGCUUGGCCACACUUGUAGCACUUUCCCUCGCAUUGCAGGCAAGCCGACGGUCGAUGCUCACCGCUGCAAAUAACGCAUCGGAAAGGCUUCCAAUUCUUCGAUUGCUGUCGAGGAUACCGAGGGGGUUUCUUUGCAUUUGGCCGGCCCCCGGCACCGCCCGCCGCCCGCUUCUUCCCUUUGUUUCUCGAUUCGGCCAUAGACUCGUGCUCCUCUGGCGCGUAGGCGUUGCCAUGCUCCGCACACAAAGCUCGAUCAAAGACUUCCGCAAAGGUAGUAAGCUUGAGGAUUUGCACGGCCUCAUAGAUCCUCGGUCGGAGUCCUCGUAAGAACCAAUCAGCCUGGUCUAGAUCAUCUCAAACAACAUCCGAAAAACAAUUGAUGAUGUGGGAGGACUACUGCUCGUAAUCCGCCAUCGAGCGAUCUCCUUACCUCAACUUGCGAAACUUUUCUUGCAUCUUCCGCUUCACCGUGUCAGGAAAAUAGUUAGCGAACAUCGCCCUCUUAAACUCCUCCCAUAAUAUAGGCAGAAGGUCAAAAGACCGAUCUCGCUUCAUCCGCUUCCACCACACCUUCGCUGCCUUCUCAAGACAAUGAGUGGCGAGGAGCACUUUGUCUUUCUCCAAGGGAUAAAUAUCCUCGAAGAGCGUCUCCAUGGCAUCGAUCCACGACUCCACCAUCGCCGGCUCCACCUUUUCCCCAUUAAACAUAGGUGGGUUGAAUUUCUUGAACAUAACGAGAGCCGCCAACGCACGCUCUCGCUCCGCCUCUGCCGCCGCACUUUCGGAAUUUAAAGUUCCCGAUCCGGCCGGCACCGCCGUAACGGGCACAGCCGCCGCGGCCACGCCCUCCUCCACGAUCGGCAUCGCUACAGGGGGCGCAGAAUGCUUGGCCCCUACUUGAGCCGCCGCCGCCUGCUGCCGCUCUAAAGCCUCUCGAAGACUUUGAAUCUGCUUCCUCUGAUGCUAAACCGCCUCAGCAUGUUGACGCAUCAACUCUGCUUGUUGCCGCACAAUGCCGACAAGAGCGGACAUCUGCUCCCGAAGCUCCCCGUCGCCACUAGCUUCGGAUUCCAUAGGAGCCGCACUCGAUUCCUCGGGCGUAGACCUCGUUCGGGGUCGACCACAAGGCAUUGCUUCCUGAAAUGAAGCAACUCAUAUUAGUUACAUAACCACUAUACUCGGACAUACCCAAUCUGGCGAAAACAAACAAGUGUAUUUAUUUCCAUUCCAAAGCAGUAUGUCGUCGGCCGUCGAUCACAAGACAAGGAAUAGAAAACAAUAUCUACUUAAAGUUUAGCCCCUAACCACAUUAGAGACAUAUUAAUAUCAACCCAAUCAUAAAGCUUUCGCUAUAAUUUAGUUCCACGUCACUCACAUUUUCUAGAUCCUUAAGAUUUUUCAUUCCUAAUGGUCUCUAGGUCCAUUCUAUACUUUCACUUUUGGGCUCUGAUACCAUUAUAUUUGUCAUGCUCCGAGACCGGCCAUAUUUGGUCCGUUCGGGCUCGUCGAACAGACGCCGAAUGGACAGUACCUCCCUUGUCCGCCCAAGGCUCAACAACAAGUACAAUUUCAAGUAGAAAAAUUUGAACAUGCGGAAGCAUACAUAAUUGGCUUGCACGAGGGCAAGCAAUAGCCAAAGUGAAAGUACUAAACUAAACCAUUCAUACAAGUAAUAUGAUUAGCUUUUAACUACAUACAUAGAUACAACUUGGCUAAUCUUUUACAUUCUUUGCUUUAACAUUAUUUCUUCUCUUUUACAUUACAUGAUAUCUCAAAAUAUAACUUGCUUUUACAUUUAAACAUUUAUAGUCAUCAGAAUACAAAAGAUGACAUAAAAGGGUAUGCAACUAAACCAAAAUGUGACCAACUCGGGUAGUCCCUAUCUAUGGCGUGAUACCUUUACCGCGAUCACUGGCCAGCUCACUCAGUACCGGCUCUGUGGAGAAAAAGGGGGUGAGAACUACAAUAAAAUUUUCAGUGGGUUCGGCCGCUGACCUCGCCGACUUUCCUACUAGGUCUAAAUCAGAUAUAAUAGAAGAAUGGGUAGAUAGUAACCAACUAAACAAAUACAGCUAAUAUGCCUGAGCAAUAUAUAAUCCAUGAUUAUGUUCAAAUAGAAUUCUUAUGAUGAAUGCAAGAUUACUUUUCAAUUCUUAACUUUCUUGGCUAGCCCGUAGGUUUCGCCCUCAAUUAAUUUUACCAAUUCAAGUCCCUACUAUCGGGCCCUCAGCUUCUUCCCGACGGGCCAAAUCUCUAAUAUCGGGCCCUCAGUUUCCUCCUGAUGGGAUCGUCUUCUUGGGCUUACCAUUUCCAGUGAUGACAACUCCAGAGCUCAUCACUCGAGAGGGAGCGACCUCACUCAAGCCAAGACUUAUAGGCGAGUAUGAUCAAUCCUUAACUUUAAGGAUUCCAAGUUCAAUCCAAUUCUUACUAUAAGAAUGCAAUACUCCUAUGACCCUUAACUUUAAGGUUGCUAUGUCAUAAUAUCACUAUCUCAUUUACUUGCAUUAUCACUUUUUUUUAGUGUCACUUGCACUAUUGUUCUUUGUACUCAUUCACAUGCAUUCUCAAUUCACUAAUGCCACACACUAAGUGUUCAACUCUAGCAUUCACAUUAUGCCACACACUAAGUGUUCAACUCUAGCAUUCAUAACUCAUUGAUGCCACACACUAAGUGUUCAACUCUAGCAUUCAUAACUCAUUGAUGCCACACACUAAGUGUUCUUUUCUAGCAUUCAUUGUUUACUAAUACCACACAAUCCAUAUGUCAUAAUGUUAUUUUGUUCUUUGCCUCAUCUAGAUUCAUUACUCUUUCCUAGGUUCUUGUCAUUACUCAUACAUACAUAGGAUUUUACAAGUUCUUAUUCUUUUACUAUCAUUUCAUAUGCAUUUGUACUUACAACAUGCAUCACAUGCUCUCAAAUAAAUCUUAUUAUGCACAAUGCUCAAUAUACACGUAUGCUCAAAAAUGACACUUUAGAUAUAAAAGAAAAUUCAAUAAUUUCGAAAAGCACCACCCAACUCGUAUGGUUGCAAGGGUGCUACAGUUCAAUUUUUAAAAUUUUAGAGUACUUAUUCUCUUACCUGCGGCAAAACGAAGCCAAAUUAGACUUUUUAUCCAAAAUCAUUACUUAUACUGGUCGGAUCACCGAACCGAGUUUAUAUAAUAGUUAGAAAUAUCCCUAAUUUAGUUUCUAUAAGGUCAAUCUGUCUUUAAACCACUGUAGGGCAAAAGCUCCAAUUUCGAUGCCAUAACAAUGCCAUUUGUCCAAUCUCUUGAUUUGAUAUUUAAAACAAGCAAAAGCAAGCUUGUUCAAUAUCUAGAAGUUCAUCUAGAACCUUUUAUAAGCCAUUCAAAUCAUUUCUAGGGCAUACAAAUCGAGCCCUAGAAAUCCACCAUAGAAGUACAUGAAGAAAACUUGAUUUUCAUGUAUUCCAUGGCCUCUAGAAGAUUCCUACACUUGUAAGAAGAUCAAAACCAAAAAUUUAGGGCAUAAAAUUUAAGCUCUAAUCUUAAUCUUACAAGAAAAUCUUACCUUUGCCCAAAGCCCUCCAAGGUCCACCUUGUAAGAGAGCUCCCAAGCCUUCAAAACCCCAAAAAUCUCCUCCAAAUCCUUUUCUAACUCCUUGUCUUAGCUCCUUAAGUGGGCCCAUUACUCUAUAUUCCUGGUUUGCCAAAGAGGCCCUGAGUUUAAAUUUUUUUACCUGCAUUCAAGUUUUUUCAAAUUAGUGAUACAAAAUUAAUGUCUAAACUAGAGAAAUUUACAAGUUUUUUAAACAUAUUAAAUAUGUUAAAUUUAAAUAUCUACCAACAUUAAAAAUUUAAAUAGUAAUACAAAUUUCUUCUAAUUUAAAUUUAAAUUUUUAAAAUUUAAAUAUUUAAUAUUUAAUAUUUAAAUCAACAUAUUUAGAAAUAGUAGUAUUUCUAAAAUUCCUAAAAUUCAAAUUGAUGCGUAAAUUAGGGGAACACUAAAAUUCCUAAAAUUAAAUGCAUAAAUUAGUGCAAAAUUAAUGCCUAAAUUUGGGAUAUAAGUCAAUUCCUUAAUCAAUGCUUAAAUUAGUGCAAAAUUAAUGCUUAAAUUUGAAUUUUAGGAAUUUUAGAAAUACUACUAUUUCUAAAUAUGUUGAUUUAAAUAUUAAAUAUUAAAUAUUUAAAUUUUAAAAAUUUAAAUUNAAAUUAGUGCAAAAUUAAUGCUUAAAUUUGAGAUAUCAAUCAAACUUUCUAACAUUGCACAGUUUAAUUACAAAAAUACCCUCGUCGUAACCAGCUACAUAUUAAAAUAACAUCUUUACUCUUUAUUAAUCAACGGAUAGAAUUUUUUAAAUUUUUUUUAUUUUUUAUAAAAUAAAGUACCGAAUCAUUUCUCAACCAGUUUUAACUCAGCCCAACACUCUAAGAACAUACUAACUAAUAAUCCAAACUGUAACUUCGCCAAUUUGUCUAUGUCCGGUAUAUUACACUAUAAUAUUAUCUUAAUUGGUGUAAGGAUUGACUUUUUUUAUGAUAAACAAUGAGUUUAGUUGAUCGAAGGGUUACUUAUUUAAUAUGUACUAAUUGCCCCUGAACUCUUUUUUUGUUAUCCAUGGUCCAUCUGAUUUGUAUUUCUCAGACUCAAAAAUUAGUUAAUUCCAUAGCCAUAUUAAGCAAGCAUUUAAAGUUGUUUUUUCAUAAAUUUUUAGCAUUCAUUUAUUUGUAUACAACAUCAUCACUAAUUUUCAAAGCUUUUACUUCUAAGCUAUUUUAAAGUUGUUUUGUUUGUGCACUAACAUUUGGUUCUUCUUUCGGCAGAUUAGAUGUGCGAGGAUAUCAAUGUACUGAAUUUCUAAGCACUAAAAUCUUAAGAAUUUUCACUACCGAGAAACAAUAAUAGCCGAGGUUGCAGUGUUUUUAGCCAUUGAAAAGCUUGGUGAUGCAUUAGGAACAGAACUGUUGAACCAAGCUAGCUCUCUAUUUUCAAAGCUACUAGCAUCAUUGGCAGAGCUCCCUGAUAGUAUGGGACGCAUAAGGCGUGAACUCCACAUAAUGCAAGGAUUCUUACAUCACAUUGAUAUGGUAGAUAAAAAAAAUCAACUCCUUGAAUCUUGGAUAGAGGAAGUGCGAAAAGUUGCAUAUAUUAUUGAGGAUAUUGUGGAUGAGUAUAUCUAUCUUAUAGUUCAAGAUCAGCGCCGACAAGGUGGACUAGUUGGUUACAUGAAACAAGUGUUGAAGCAACCAAAAUCGUUUGGUAGCUUCUGUCUUAUUGCCUCUCAACUAGAACGAGUAGAGAAAGACCUUGACCACUUCUCACACUUAAAAGAUCGAUGGAUUCAAACAACGAGUAUUGGCCAUAGUAGUAGUUCAGAUAAGGUGAGCGAAUGGACACAACAUCUUAUGGGAAGCACUUCUCUUUUCAUGGGCGAGGAACAACUCGUAGGGAUUGACGAAGACCAACAUAUGUUAACUAAUUGGUUGAGGUCUGAGAAAUUAGAUCUCUGCAUAAUAAUAGUUUGGGGUAUGGGCAGGCUUGGAAAGACUACUUUAGUCAACAAUAUUUAUAAAAGUGAAAGUAGAACUUUGACUGCCGUGCCUGGAUUUCUGUAUCUCAAACUUUUAAAGUAGAAGAUCUUCUCCGAAAAAUGAUUACUGAACUUUUUGGCAACCAAAAAAUAGUUCCAACUGAUAUUGCCACCAUGGAUGGUAAAAAGUUGGAAGAGACACUAGCGGAAUUCUUAAGACAAAAGAAGUAUCUAAUUGUACUAGAUGAUGUAUGGGUUCCAGAAGCAUUUUAUGUAUUGCGUGAUUCUCUUGUCGCUAAUCAGAAAGGAAGUAGAAUAUUUAUUACAACAAGAAUUGCAGAAGUAGCAUCACUUGCGAACGAAAACUAUAAGCUUGAACUCAAACCUUUAUCUGGUCUUGAUGCAUGGAAACUUUUCUGCAAGAGAGCAUUUAUGAAUUAUCCAAACCAAGAAUGUCCCCCAGAGUUAGAAAAAAUUGCAAGAGAUAUUGUGGCCAAGUGCGAAGGGUUGCCACUAGCUGUUGUAUCACUAGGCAGCCUCCUGUCCUUAAGAGAGAAGAGUGAGACUGAAUGGAAGCGAGUUUAUAAUCAGCUUAACUGGGAGCUUACAAACCACCCAAGUCUUGAUCCCGUGAGAAACACUUUGAAUUUAAGCUUCAACUAUCUUCCUAAAUAUCUGAGGAAUUGCUUCUUAUCUUGCAGCAUGUUUCCAGAGGAUUGCCUUCUUAGAAGAAAAGGGCUUAUUAGAAUAUGGAUAGCAGAGGGUUUUGCGGCAGAAAGAGGAUCAAGCACGGCUGAGGAAGUUGCAGAAGGAUAUCUCAUGGAGCUUAUCCGUCGGAGCAUGCUGCAAUUGGUAGAGAGAAACCACUUCGGUAGGGUAAAGUUUUGUCGGAUGCAUGAUCUCGUGUGCGAGCUGGCUGUCUCUUUAUCUAAAAAUGAGAAGUUCCACAUUAUUUAUGAGGAUAAUGGGAUGGAAAGAAUGGUGGAUGCUAAUGCUCGUCGCCUGUCUGUUCUCAAACACAGCAAUGAUAUUGGAUUCAACAUUGAUCUACCGCGGCUACGAACCUUUGUAGCAUUUGGCACUACUAUGCCGCCGUCCUCAUUUUUAUCUGCUUUUCCAUCCAAAUCAAGGUAUAUUGCAAUUCUUGAACUGCAAGGCUUGCCUAUUGAGGAGAUACCUGAUGCUAUUGGAGACUUAUUCAAUUUGCGAUACUUGGGUUUAAGAGAAACGAAGGUAAAACUACUACCAAAAUCCAUUGGCAAGCUUUCCAACUUGUUGAUCUUGGACCUCUAUCAGUCAGCUAUACAAGAGCUGCCUCGUGGGAUCACAAAUCUCAAGAAAUUGCGCCACAUGUUUGUUGAAAGGGUAAAUGACCCAACCGGGAAAACCUUUCGCUUGUGUAGUGGUAUACAUGCACCAAAAGGUUUGUGGAAUUUAAAAGAAUUACAAACAUUGCAAGCGGUUGAAGCGAGUAGUGAGUUGGUUGGGCAACUGGGAAAUUUGACCAACCUGAGAAGUUUUAGAAUAUGGAACGUAAAGGAAACCUACUCUGCACAACUCUGCGCAGCAUUAUCACAAAUGCAUCAUCUUUUUAACUUAGGCAUUAAUGCAAGUGAUGAAAAUGAGUUUCUCAAUUUGGAAGGCUUGAACCCCCCACCCCCGAAUCUUAAAAAGCUUAGUCUAACAGGUAGAUUGGCACCAGGAACGAUGGUGUCUCCUUUGUUUCGAGCCCACGGGAAAAAUCUCCAAGAAUUAGGACUAUCUUGGUGCCAGCUAACUGUGGAUCCUCUUCCGUCGCUCGCUUGGUUGUCAAACCUCACUGCCUUAUGUCUUCACAGAGCAUACGAUGGAGAACAGUUGUGCUUUCGUGCUAAAUGGUUCCCUAACUUGCACGAGCUUCGAUUGAUUGACCUGUUGCAACUCCGACAAGUGAAGAUAGAGAUGACGGCCUUGUCAAACUUAGAAACUCUAUAUCUGGAAAGCCUAAGUAGCCUAGUAGAGGUCCCAAAAGGCAUUGGAUUCCUCAAAUCAUUGCAAAAGCUAUUUUUGUAUGAUAUGGAUCGUCAGUUGACGAGUCGUUUAAAAGCCAAUGCCAAGCUUCUACACAUCUAUUUACACUUAUUUGAAGUGCCUUCCUUUCAUCUGGAUUCGCUCACAAGUAAGUUUCUACAUGUCACACCCACGCAUUUCUUUUGCAAAUUUCCAAAUUUUACUACGUUUAAUUUCAUGCUUAACCCAAAACUGCUUACGGCACAUAAAACUAUGUUAGUAUCUUAUGUCUAAUUUAUUGAUUUUCUCUCCUUUGGUUUGAUUUUUGUUCAUUUUCAUCUCAUUUGGAGCCACCAGUAUUCGAUCAAAACAUAUUUUUAUGAACUUAAAUUCCAUAAUAAAGUUCCUAGUUAGGCAAUUGCUUAAACAUUAAUUGUUUCUUUCAGUACACUACUUUUGAUCUCAUAUUUAUUUAGUCAACAUAGAAAUUGCUACUAUAUUGAAAAUAAACCAAUGAUAUUCACUAAGUCCUAAAAAGAGCUUUUGCCAAUUUAAUUUGUAUAUUUUUUAGACUCUAUGCUUUCUACUAGCAAUGCUCAUGCAAAUUGACAGUUCAUUACAUAUUCAACUUGUUUUCUUACUAUAUAAUUUAAGUAAUAAAUUUACUAGUGCAACUGUACAGAUGUACUAUGCAUUUUUUAUUAUUAUUUUUUUCCAUCACAUAUUUCGUUACCAUGCAUUUAUGCUACUUUUAUUUUUUUUCUAUACUAUGAUUGUGUGCAUGCAACAUGCGCUUUGCACAAAAAUAAAGAAAAAAAAUUUAAGGAGAUGCUUUUAUAAAUUUUGAAAAUUUAUAAAUUUUAUCUGAUUGUAAUCAUCUAAUCUGAUAGAAAAAAUAGGAAGAAUUAUAUUAGAUUUAGUCAAAUUAGGUUUUUUUUUCAAAUUUCAUUAAUUUAAAAGUUAAAUAUCAUGUCGGUUAAUACAUGAAAAACUUACUGUAGAAUAAAAUCAAAUAAAAACUGUUACGUACGUGUUUCAAAUAUAAAUGUAUUUUUAUAAUAGAGGAGUAUUUUUUUUAAAAAAAGAGUAUAUCCUACCCUUUAUCCAUUCACUGGGUGAGGUGUUUUCACCGGUCACUUAAUGUGAUUGGUAGUUAACACCCCAUCCUUUGGAUGGAUGGGGUGUAACUUGUACACCUCCUAUGGAAUGUACAAGUGGCAUUUUUCAAAAGGAAUUUGACUGGCCCAAUAUUUUUACUCGCUCUUGUAUUUACACUAGUUAAAGUGCACAUGCAUGUAAUGCACACUUUGCACAAAAAAGAAAGUAAAAAAAUAAAAAAAUAAACUUGAGAAAUAAUUUUAAAGACUGUGUUUGGGGGGAAAUUUGACAUAUUCAAAAUUUUUAUUCGCUGUUUUAUAUAUAGUACAAUUUUAAAAUCCGAUCAAAUUUCAGAAUCAAUAACUUGUAAACUUUAAGGUAUAAAAACAUCAUAAAUGUUAUUUUUCUUCACUGGCCAUCAUUUCCUUCCAUGGUCAAUUUAUAUGCACACACCUCACCUUUUUUUUUUUUGGAAAUAUAUAAAUAGUCUAUUUUAUAGUUGGAAUUAACUAUCCCCUUAGUUUUUUUCUUGUUCACUAGUUUAUUCUGUGCAUGUGAAACUUGGUGCUAAUUUUUCAAUUUGUACUUCUCAAUUUAUUUCUUUUUCAAUUUUUUGAAAAUUCAGGUCAUCCUCUCCUUGGUUUUAAGCCACCGAGUACUUCUCAGUGUUUGUCGGUCAUGCCAUUAUUUGCUUAAUAUAGCAUUAUUAUUUGUUUGUCCACUAAAUUAUUCCUGCAAACUCAAACAAAGUUGUUGUAUGUAUUUUCUGUAUUAGUUUAGUUCUUUCAAUCACAUGCUAUAUGUGUUGUUUUACAAUAUAAUAUACCGACCGUCCUUAGAGCAAAUGGCAAAGGGCUUGGUGGUUAGUACCCGAGGUCCUAACUUCGAAUUCUAGUUGAUUCACAUUUUCUAGCUAAGUUUAUUCUAAAUGAAAUAAACGAAACAGAUAACAUGCUAUCUAUCUCUCAAAAAAAAAUAUAUAUACGGCGCAUGAUAUAUGAUAAUAUCUUGUGGAAUUAUUCUGUAAGAAAACAUUAUUGAUAAUAAUGUGUCAUUUUGUUGAAACAUUUGCAUCUACACUAACUUGAUUUUCCGUAUUCUCGAUGGAUUUACAUCCGUUGUAUACAAUAGCAGGAACUCUUACAAUAGAAAUACAAGUAACUUCUAUCCAAUAGAGGACAUUGAUUGAGAAACUCGGUAAAAGUGGCAGGUUUGAACGGAUAGUUUCGAUCUAUUGUGGGCGUGCUGACUCGAUCUAUCAAGUAAUGGAUUGUUUAGCACAUUUUGAUCUUACAAAUAGUUGCGAGAGUCUAUGUUAGCCAAUCACUUCAAUGCCCUAUACAAUUGCCAUUCAUGCAACUGGCUCACAGUUACAGAAGCCCUAAAAAAAUGUCUGGAUUUUGUUUUCCUAAAAAUAUUUGAAAAAGAAAAAUAUUAAUUUGCGAUGAAAUUUUGAAAAUAAAUUUUUAAAAACUAUUUUUUUUUAACCAAAUGAAUGGAAAACUGAAAAAAAAAAAUUCCAUAACAUUUUCUUGGCAAAAAAAAAAAGAAAGUUUUUUUCACGCUUUUUCGACAAACAAAGCACCCCUUAGCAUCGCAUAAAGUCGACGUUUCUUCGGCAUUUCCUUUCCCGCAAACGCUUUAUUAUUAGUUAGCACCUCCACUAUCUAUCUCGAUAUUUUCAAUAGAAUUGUAUUAAAACCAUAUCCGUUUAAGGGUUGUUUGGUUCCUCAAAAAAACGCGAAAAAAGAACUUUAAUUUGAGAAAAAAGUUUUUUAAUUUUCCGUCUAUUUAGUUUCACCGAAAACUAGAUUUUUUUUUUUUUUUUUGAAAAGAACCAUAUCCGUUUAAGGGUUCUUUGGUUCCUCAAAAAAGCAUGCAAAAAAAAGUUUGAGAAAUUUUUUUUUUUAAUUUUCCAUCUGUUUAGUUUCAUGGAAAACUAGAUUUUUUUUUUUGAAAAGUUUAUUUUCAAAAUUUAUGAAAAACUAGUAUAUUCAUUUCCUAAAAAAUUAAAAAAAUUAAUAAUUUGUGAUGAAAUUUGGAAAAUAAAUUUUCCAAAAAAAACUAAUCUUUUAAAACUAAAUGGACAAAAAACUGAAAAAAGAAAUUUCAUAAAUUUUUUCUAGGAAAAUUUUUUCUCGCUUUUCCAACCAAUCAAGCACCCCUUAGCAUUGGAUAAAGUUGAUAUUUCUUCACAUUUUCUUUUCAGCAAAUGCUUUAUUAUUAGUUAGCACCUCUACUAUCUAUCUCGACUUUCGCAAUAGAAUCUAUUACUAUAUAUAAAAGUAGAACCCUUAAUGAACCCUAUGUGAGAAGCUGGCACGUGGCUUUCUAUAUGUUUGCCACGUGUCAAACUCAAAUAUGUAUAUUUGGUUACGAAUUAUUUGAAAUUAUUGAAAAUCAAUAUCUUUUGCUAUAUUAUUAAAAAUCACCUAUAAUGAAGGAGAAAUUAUUUCAAAGUCACCUAUAAUUAUGUUGAGAUAUUUAAAAAAUUCACGGAUAUUAUGUGGCAAAAAAAUUGACCGGUGCAGAUAUUAUGCGUGAGAAGAAAAAUAUUUAUCUUUAUUUGGGAAUAAAUUACUACUUAGUUAAUUAUUUGAAAUGAUUGAUCGAAAAUUUCUGGACAUAAAAAUAUUAGUAAAAAAGGAUAGAGACAUUUUUGGAAAGAGAAAAAAUUCAAAACUAGUGUUUUUAUAAAAAAAUAAUAUCUUUUACUAUAUUAUUAAAAAUCACAUAUAAUGAAGAAAAUUUUAUUUCAAAGUCACCUAUAAUUAUGUUGAGAUAUUAAAGAAAUUUAUGGAUAUUAUGUUGCAAAAGAAUUGGCGGUGCGGAUAUUACGCGUAAGAAGAAAAAUAUUUAUCUUUAUUUAGGAAUAAAUUAUUACUUAGUUAAUUAUUUAAAAUGAUUGGUUGAAAAUUUCUGGACAUAAAAAUAUUAGUAAAAAAGGAUAGAGGCAUUUUUGGAAAGAGGAAAAAAUUUAAAACUCACAUCACUCCUGUAAUUUUCUUCGCUCUUAAAUAUUGAUGCUUUAAAAUAGAACAUAUUAUUUCCCUACUGUCACUUCUGUAAUUUUCAUUUCGUAAUUUUUUUCCCUUCUGUCACUCAUGUAACUUUUUAUCUUCAUUCAACAAAAUUUUUUUUCUUUAUAUUUUCUUGAAAACCAACAUCUAUAUAUUUUUGAAUCUUAAAAGCGACAAUAGGAACAUAAUAUAUGUAUGCUUACUCUAAUUUGUGUCAAAUAUAAAAGUUUAGUUGAUCUCAUUAUAUGCUUAAAUAUUAAUGCCAUUUAUAAUUUUUCAUAUCAAUUUUAGUUAUCAUUUUAUUUCGCACAUCAAUAUGUAAAUGUAAAUUGUUUUGUAUACCAAUUCAUAAAUAAUAGAGCAGAAUUGAAUUUUGCAUUUUAGUUGAAUAUUUACUUUGGUCCAUUUUUUUUUUCUCUAGCUUGUGUACUUUAAUAUGUACUAUAAUUAAGAUUGAUAGUAUAUUUUUUUAUUUAUUAAAAAAUAUAAAAUUAAUUAGAAAAUCUCUUUGUUAUUAUCACAUAAUAAUUUUUAUUAUUCUAUAUUAUUAUAUUAGCCGUGCAUCGCACGGGUGAAAAUCUAGUUAUAUUCAAAAUCAUAUCCGUUUAAUGGUUGUUUGGUCCUCGAAAAAAUGUGAAAAAUUUUUUUGAAAAAAAAAUAUUUUUUUUUUUUUCAAUUUCCAUCUGUUUGAUUUCGAAAAACAACCAGAUUUUUUGAAAAAAAAAAAUCCAAAUUUUAUGGAAAAACCAGCAUUUUUAUUUUUCUAAAGAAUGCAAAAAAUAAAAAUAUUUAAUUUGCAAUGAAAUUUUAAAAAUAAAAUUUAAAAAUUAAUUUUUUAAAACUAUACGAACGAAAAAUUGAAAAUAAAAAAAAAAAGCACAAAAGAAAUUUUCUCAAAAUUUUUUUUUUUUUUUGAUUAAACAGGGGAAUACCCUAUUUGAAACUUGGAACAAAGUAACAGAAGUUGUAAAGAAAUGCAAAAGAGCAAAAUAACAGGCCACAUAGAGAUAACAAAACAAUCAGGAGAACAACAUUAUGGUGUGGCUGCUGCAUAACUGCAAAAGUGUGGACUGCCACAGCACAAGCAGAACAACAUUUUGCUGCAUAACUGCAAAAAUUUUUUUUCAAAUUUUUUUUUUUUUUCAUGCUUUUCGGACCAACCAAGCAGCCCUUACCAUCAAGACGAAUUCGGCGCUUCUUCCGAAUGCAGUACCCUUUCAACAAACGCCGUAGCAUUAAUUAGCACCAACCACUCUCGCUCUUCGUUUUCAAUAGAAUUGUACAAUUCCUUCCAGAUUCCAGAUCAGCAAACGCUUUAGCAUUAAUUGGCACCUACCGCUCUCUAUCUCUUUGUUUUGCAAUAGAAUUCUAUUCCUUCCACGUUUCUUUAUCAUUAGUUGGAUCCUCCUCUAUCUAUCUCCCUAUUGCUAGUUUCUCCAUCAUUUCUCUCUUCUCUUAUCUUUCUUUAAGGCUGCCAGGCAAUGCAUGGUGGAUAUCUACAUGAUCACUAGUUAGCUUGAGAAGACACUGGAGGAAGAAGAAAGAGAAGACGGCAGCUGCUGCCGUUUGCUGCCACCGCGACGCGACGGCUGUUGCCAUUGGAGGAAGAAGAAGGAAACCAUGGCUAUCGCUACGGGUCUGGUUGGUUUCGAUAAAACUUAAUAGCAGAUUACUGCACAUAUAAGAUUAUCAUAUUUGGUCAGUAGAUUUCAAUAAUGCUAAUAAUAAAAUUUAUACUAUUUUAAAAAUAUUCUUACACUAUAUUCAUUUAAAUAUCAAACUUUAAUUGUAAAUUCAAGGUCUAGAUUUGAAUUUGAAUUUUAGAUUCAAGUUCUGAUUUUCAAUCCAAAGUUCGAUUUCAAUUUUUAAUUCGAAAUCGGAUUUUGUUUUCAAGAUUCUAAUUUUGGAUUCGAAAAGGAAAUUUAAAUAAAGUUUCUAAAAUCAAAUUUCAACUUUCAAAUUUAAAUUUAAAUAAUUUAAAUUUAUUAAAAUUUUAAAUGCAAAUUUAGAUUUUGAAUUUAUAUUUCAGUUCGACUUCAUACUUUUAAUCCAAAUUUAGAAUUGGAGUUCAUAUUUUAUACACAAAUUCAAAUUUAGAAUUUAAAUUUAAAUUAUUUAAGUUUUAAAAUCAAAUUUAAAAUUCAAAUUUAGAUUGGAAUUCAAAUUUUAACUUCAAAUUGAAAAUUUAAAUUUGGAAUUAAAAAACUUAAAUAUUUCAAUUAAAUGAGAAAUUAAUAUUUAAAUUAAAAUUUUAGUCAAUUGGUGGUUGGGUAGGGGCCACUUUGAAAAUUUUCAUAAAUUACAGAAUUAACAACAAUCAGUAACAUAGGACAUCUAUCCCCUCAUCGGUAAUAUUUUGUAAGUAAUCUUACGCUGUCAGUAAGUCUAUAAUUGACAAAAUUACAUACCAGGUGAAUCAAACACAAUAAUUUGAAAAGAUUCAUACAUAAUUUUCGAUAAUCCUGGUAGGAUAGUACAAACCAAACAGGGUCAUUAUAGGCCAAGCUCUGACUGAGUCAAGUUCGGAAUGAUAGGCCAAGCUCUGGGAAUAAUUGGCUAAAUUAGGACAAGUGAGACAACUCUUAAAUCUUCUAGUGAUCUUGGGCUCUGUAUGUAAUUGGGUUGACGACAACGUCAAGGUUUAAGCGGGGGGAGUCAGUCUGUGACAUCCCAACAAUUUUACAUCGGAUAGGAAGAGAGUUAUGAUUGAGUAUAUAAAAGACUAUGAAACCUAUAAAUAAAAAUUGGGAUUAAGCAUUUUAGGUCGGUGGUUUGAGCCUAACGAGUUAUUAUUGCUAAUAGAUCGUGUCAUUAUAAUUUUGGAAAAGUAAUUUUUGCAGAACUAAUUUUAGUUUUGGGAAUUGAUUUUUGUUAAAAGUUAUAGAGUGUUUAAGUGAGUGUUUAGAGGAAAACUUAUUUUUUCUGAAGUGAUUUUGUAAAGCUGUUUGACAAAAAAAAAAUUUACUAUUUGCAAAUAAUAAUUUUUUUAAAGAAUUUUAUUUUAAAAUAAUUGAGAGUUUGAAUUUAAAUUUACUAUUUUAAAUUUUAAAUUUGCAUAAAAUUUAAACAUUUUAAAUUUUAAUUUGAAAUAUGAAAUUUAUAAUUUAUAAUUUUCGCCCGGCCGUUUUACACCCCUAUUUGAACCAUUGAAUUUAGGGCAUGUUUGGUUCACCUAUUUUAGAUUAUGGAAUCGGAAUGUAAUUCAUUGAUUCCGAUAGUUGCCUGUUUGUUUUAUAGGAAUCAGAUUUUUCAUUUAUGAUCCAAUCCGGCUUUCGAUCCUGGAUUGACUCAUUUCAAAGUAAAUUAUUCAAAAUUCUCUUUCAUCACUACCUACCUCAUCUCCUUUCAUCACUUUUCUCUCUCUUAAUCAAAACCCUCUCUCAAAAAUUUUGAAUUUUCAUUCCGAUUUCUAUUCCAAUAAUGAACCAAAUAUUUUUGGAUGAUUCGUCAUUCCAUUUUCCAUUCCAAAGCAAUUCAAUUUUAUUUCUCAUUUUUAUUUCAAUCAUGAACCAAACAUGCCCUUAUAGUUUCAGAACGUUGACUCAAGGACUUUAUUCAUAAAACGAAUAUGACUUUCUCGUUUUAGCUACGUGUGGAACAAUCUAAUUAUUGUUAGAUUUGUUAUUGAAUUUCUGCCUUAUUAUGCGAUCAAUUCAACCCAUAAACAUUGUAAACUUGGACUGAUCAGCCAAAAAAAGAAAAGAAAAGAAAAAAAGAAACGAAACUGCACAUUAGGCAGAACUUGCGUGUUAAUUUCAACUCCAAUUAAUAAUUCAAGUGGUGUUAGAUUCAGAUUAAGAGGAUUAUUGAGUCUAGUAAGAGUUAAAAAGAAAAUAACAAGAUUAAAAUUUGUAAAUAGUAUACUCUUGCAUAUAAUAAUACAACUAUAUAUAAUUUCGGUUUAGAGCGUGAUGAUCAAUCCAAACUAAUCAAAUAUUUCUCUAAUACAACCAAAUGCAUGGUGGCUACUCUAUGCAUAGUUAGUAAAUUCGCGAAUUAUUCGCGAAUUAUUCGCGAAUUUUUGAGAAAGCGAAUUAAACAGCCGAAUAAGUAUUUUUCCAAAAAUUUGGAAAAAAACGCAUUUUUUUGGAGAAAAGUAAUUAUUCGCGAAUUAUUCGCGUUUCGCGAAUUAUUCGCCCAAAAAAAGGGCCCGCCCGCGCCCGCACCCGGGCCCGCCCCCUGGCCGGCGCCCGCGCAAGGCCCGCGCCAUCACCCGGGCCCGCAUCCUGGCCCGCGCUUGCGCCCAGGCCCCCUUCGGCGUCUUGCGGGCUCGCGGCUCGGCUGGCCCGAAACAAAGAAAAAAAUAAAAAAAACUUUCCAAAAUCCAAAUUCAAAAUUCAAACCUCGCACCAAAAAAAUAAAUAAAUAAAUCUUUUCGAAACGUUCACUCUCCUCUCCCCCCCAAAAAAAAUCACUCGAUCAAAAAAAUUUAAUCUCUUAUUUAUUUAAUUUAUUAUUUAUUUUAAGGUAUAAUAUAGUUUGCUAUUUUUUUUACGUAAUUAGCUUAAUUUUGUAGUUUUUUUCUUAUAUUCUUAAGAAAUAUGAUUAUUUAUGCUAAUAGCAAAAAUUUUGAGAGAAAAAAAUUUAAUUUAACAGCCGAAUUUUUGAUCCCGAAUUUUUAAUUGGUAAACGUAUAAUAUCCGUAUAAAUUACGUAUCCGAAUAAUUGACGAAUCCAUUUUUUAACCGUAUUUUUUAACGAAUUUAAAAAUUAAAAGACGAAUUUUAUUCAAAUUAUAUCCGUACUGAAUUUUUGCCGAAUCCGAAUUAACUAACUAUGACUCUAUGCUGAGAUUUGAAACUGUGUCGCUUAUAUUUGAUUUAGAUAUGCUAUGCUUUUGACAUUGGCAUAUUUCUUUCAUGCUGAGGUAAAUUGCUUAUUUUGAAUUUUUUACCUUGACUUCAUCCUGAGCAUAUCUUGUCAUUGCUCAAAUCUAUUGAAUAACUUUCUUGAGACAAAAUACAAAUCUGAAUUUUCUUGCACAUAGCGUAUAAAUAAAAAAACAUAAUUGUUGUCCCAAAUGGGGACCCUACUAGUGAUCAUGGGUCAAUACAAAAUAGUAGAUGCUUCUCAAUCUUCUUUGCUCUUGUUGGCGCCAUAAAAACGGCGCCACGUGAUAAGAUAGCUUGCACCACGUAGAGGGCUCCCGAAGCCGAAAGUGGAGCGGCAUGUGGUGCGCUAGGAUUUGAGAAGAACACGCCCCAAAUCGAAAAUUGGUUAGGCGAGAUGCGGUUGAGACCGUGGCCCAAGAAAUAGGGAUAUGGCCGAGAUACACCCCAUAAUGGGGAAUAAUUGAAUAAGAGCAGACGCGACUAAAUAUACAGAAUACACUUGCUAGAAAAAAAAAAAUUUCCUGCGAACAAGAAAACCAUUCUAUUUCCAGUAUUUGCUUGCUUUUCUAGGAAUAGUCUACUUGUAGUAUUCAAUUUCUCUCCCAUUUUCCUAUUUUCUUAGGAGUAGUUUUUAAGAUAGAAUUCCUUGUAACAAUGAAACCCAUCAUUCUAUAAACUUCUUUUUUGCUUUUGAAAUACAUAUCAGAAUCACUCGGCUCAUUUUAGCCGAAUAUAUAAUGGAGUGCUUGAACUCAGCUGAGUGGAUCCCUCAUCAGCCUAUUGCUUGAUUUAGUCAUGUGCGCACACUCGAUGGUCACUGUCGGAAGUUGUUCCUUUCUCUGCUCCUUUCCCACAACGAAUCUCUAACCGAAUCAACAGUCCAGGAAUUCAGUUCCUAACAAUUUUUUGGCAUGCCGGUGGACAUUCAGGUAAUUCCCAAUUUACUUUUUAUGUUAUGGCCGACGACGACGCUAUGAACCUCCGGAGCAAAGUUAUUCCCAGACCUUCAAGGAAUGACCAAGCCAAUAACUUCGAAAAUGCAAACAAGCAUUAGGCGAUGUUACCGAUCGAGGGUGAGACUAGCAAAUAUUCAGCUCAUUAGGAGCCGAGUUUAACACAGGCACUCGGUCAGAUGACACAAGUCCUACAAACGUUGGACCAAAACAGUCAUCAAAGUACUGCUAGACUAGACGUGGUACUGGCCGCUAUUAUGGUCUCCAAUGAAAAUAUUGCCAGAAUUGGACAACUUUUGGCUCGAAAUGAGCAAACUUAUGGAGGUCCACAAGGACCUCUAACAAUGCCGGUGACACAAACCCUGAUUGUGCCAACUGCCGCGCAAACGCAGCUGCAGAUGACACCCUUCCAGGCUGUGUAACAAACGAACAAAUGUAAACACCGGUCCACAGCCGAAGAUAGUGUGACACCCCAACUUCCCAGGGGGUCACCCAUCCUAGAACUACUCUCGUCCUAUCACGCUUAACUCUCUUAACCUCUUGAGCCUUGCCACCACCCAAAAUGCUUAAGCCGGGUUAAGAGUUUAGCCCUAUUAUAUCUUAUAUAUGGGACUAUCUGGGGUCUCACAAUCUUCUCUCCUUUAAGCCCUGACGUUCUCGUCAGGCUCAGACUCACAAGUACCAGGCGAUGUGAGACUUGUCUAGCUAACCUUGUCAUUCCGACCUCGGCUUAGCCGAGACUCAUCUCACACUUCCGGCUGGUAAUUGGCUCUGAUACCAAUUGUGACACCCCAACUUCCCAGGGGGUCACCCAUCCUAGAACUACUCCCGUCCUAACACGCUUAACUCUCUUAAUCUCUUGGGCCUUGCCACCACCCAAAAUGCUUAAGCCGGGUUAAGAGUUUAGCCCUAUUAUAUCUUAUAUAUGGGACUAUCUGGGGUCUCACAGAUAGCAUGGGGAUUACCUCCUCCCCCAUCCUUUCUAGUCUAUCAACCCCAAAACGGGGACAUGAGGGCUAGAGGGCAAGGCCCCAACAUAUUGCAGGGACUCAACCUUGCAGCGCAAAACUAUGGACUUCCUCCUGGGCCAAAUGCGGUUCAGGCUCUAGUUCCUCCUCCAGCGAUAGGAAACAAUGAGCUAUAUGCUCAGAUUGAAAAAGCAAUUCGAAAUACUUUCAGCGUAGGGGCUAGGCUGACAAUGCAACUCGUAUUUAGAUCCGCUUAUCUCGCUAACAUCGAUAAGGAACAUCAUUAUCUGGCAAAUUAAAAAAUACCAAAAUUUGACAAGUUUUCUGGUGAUGAAAUUGAGAAUAUGGUCGAACAUAUAGCUCGGUUUACGGCCCAGUAUAGAGAAGCGGUCGCGGAUCCAUUUUUAAAAUUCCAAUUGUUCAAUACGUCAUUGACUAAAAUGGCAUUUACCUGGUAUACAAGUUUACUAGCCAAUUCUGUCUGAGAUUGUGACGAGAUGGAAAGAAAAUUUUAUGAACAAUUUUAUAGAUCAGAACUGGAAUUAUCGGUAGUCAAUUUGGCCAUUACCGGUAAAAAUCGGGUGAAAUGGUUAAAGAAUAUUUGAACCGUUUCAAAACGGCGAGGAGUCGGUGUUUUGUAGGAAUGUUGGAGUUUGAAUUUGCCAAAAUGGCAUUUAAUGAUCUAUAUUUCAAAAUAAAAGAUCAUUUUGAAGAUAAAUAUUUUUCGAACUUGUUCGACUUGGGCUUUCAUGUUGCCCAACAUGAACAAUUUCGAAAAGAAAAUAAUGAUGAUCGACCACUAUGGAGCCGAAACAAAAAAUGGAACAAAGGGAAAGAGAAGAAUAUCUCUUUCGUUGAAGAAAGUUUGACUUGGGAUAGGCUGAAUACCUCGAGUAAGACCGAGGACUCAGCUGACGAAGUGGCGGUAUAUGCGGCAAAAAUGGUGAAAACCCGACAACUUUAUAAGUGUACGCUGCUUAAACCAGCAAAGGCUAGCGAGACAAGUGCGAGUGCCAACGUAUAUUUAUUCUUUCCAUGUCGCCAAAACUGAUAAGAUAUUCGAUCGGUUACUAAAAGAUGGGAGAAUUAAACUCCAGGAGGGAAAAAUAAUACCCUCCGGGUAGGAAUUAAAAAAAAGAAAAUAUUGCAAAUGGCAUCAUUCUUGGAGCCACAGAACUAAUAUGUGCACAGCCUUCAAGAGGCAGAUUCAGAAAGAAAUAAAUGAAGGUCGGCUAGUAUUUGCCGACCAAGAAAAUAAAAGUGAUAUGAAAGUUGACCAAAAUCCUCUUCCUUCUCAGGUCAACAUGGUGGAUAUUAAGGGCAAGAAACUACUAGAAGAGAAGGUCUAGGAAAGCAUUGCCAGUGCGAAGAGAGCACUUCGACCCUGCAUCAGAUGCAAGACUGAGAUGACACAUCGAGAUUGGGAGGCUAUAAUUCAAGAAAAAAAGUUAUAUGGAGAGUGAAAAGAAUCCAUGACUUCCCCCAAAGAAUGGAAAGACUUACCAAAGGCCGAUGGGAAUUCAGACGAAUGUUCAGAAGAAGCCUCGAAUAAAUCUAAAGAAGAGGUGGAAUCCAAGAAAGACAAAAGGGAUCUCUUGAUCCGAAAAGUCUUGGACGAUUAUUACCAUUCAAGAGAGAGAAUAAGCCGAGGGGAUUACCCAAAACAACCCUUCAGCGUCCAGUACAAACACCCGGGAUAUCGGCCCAUAUAGCACCAGCAGUCUAGGUCAAGACCUGAACCAAAAUUUGAAGGAAUAAUCAAGGGGGAUAUAGAAUUUCUCGAUCACAAGUAAAUGAACGAGCUCGGCAUCCAUCCAUGGCGGAGAUCGUAGGAAAGAAGAGAAAUAUUGAGGGAGCACCUCAGGGCGUCAAGGUACCAGCCAAUGUACCGACUAACCAGUGGAUCACGGUAAAGCACCGACUAGAUAGCAUGGGCUGGUGUUAACGAAGACAAAAGCAGCGACAGCAAAGAAUACAAGUCGAGAUGAGAAAUCAUUGGGAAGAGGCAAAAGGGAUAAAGUCGAAUACAUAGAGACGACCUGAGCAGCGGCCACUUUAUCGGCUUAUGAAACAUGACAACAAAGUGGGCGAUCCAAACCUCGUACCAUGGUUAAAAUCUAAGAUUGAGCGAUCGGUUGCAGUAGAGCCGACGAAGAAGGUCGUUCGAAAAAAACUAGAGAAGAUUGCUUCUCUUGACACCAUUAUUAACCGAGAUAGGUGACCUCCUAAGGAAAGGAAAAUUCGGCCGAAGAGUGAUUCUUCAGCCGAAUUGGCGAAAGAAUCUGAGGAACACCUAUCAAGAGAAAGAAAUGAGCAAGCAAACCAAUUGGCUCAAUCGGCUUCAGAAUAUAAAGAGCCGAAAAGAAAUAGUCAGAUCAGAAUGGGAAAAAGAUAGCUAUCGUUGGUUUAUACACGAAAGCCAAUGAUGAUACCUCCCGUUGAAGUACAAGAUGAUUGGAGAAUACCCGUGGUUGAGUUUCUCAAUGAUCCCAAUAGAUGAGUCAGUUAUCAGUUACGAAAAAGACCACUUGGCUAUUGUCUAUUACAUAGCCAACUGUAUAAGAGAACAGCGAAAGAAGUGCUCCAGAAAUGUUUAGGAGCUGAUGAAGCUUUGAUAGUCAUGGGUGAAACUCAUGAAGGAUUAUGUGGGGCAUAUCUGGCCGAAAAAAGAUUGAGAUGGAUAGUUCGGCAGCUGGGAUAUUAUUGGUCAAUCAUGCAUGAAGAUUGCAUAAAGUAUGCCAAGGAAUGUCAAGAGUGCCAGUUUUACAGCUCGGUACAAAAAGUGUGGGCUUUUGAGAUGCAUGCAAUUAUCAAGCUAUGGCCUUUUCGUGGUUGAGCUAUGAAUCUGAUUGGAGAAAUUCAGUCGAAUUCAUUGACUAGACAUAAAUUUCUAAUAGUACCCAUAAAUUACUUUACGAUGUGGGUGGAAGCAAAAUCUAAGAGAAUGGCCAUUCAAAAAGACAUUGUAGAGUAUGUGGAAGACUACAUCAUUCAUCAUUUUAGGAUUCCUAAGACGAUGACAGCCAACCAAGGAACAAUGUUCAUAGGGCAACAAUUCUCGAGGUUCUUGGAGUCAAGAGAGAGCAAGCUGCUUCAUUCAUCACCAUAUUAUGCACAGGCCAAUGAAUAGGCCGAGGCAGUGAACAAAGUUAUUAUAAAUCUUAUGAAACGGCAUAUUGGAAAACAUCCAAGUGGAGCGAGAAGUUCUCCGAGGUAUUAUAGGCAUGCCGGAUGACCGUCAAGACAGCAACAGGAGUCACACCCUUUCGAUUGGUCUACAGUCAUGAGGCUGUAUUACCGGCUAAAAUAAUGAUUCCCUCGUUUAGAGCUGAACGACAAAAAGAGUUGAUAUCAAGAGAAUAUGAGAUCUUCAUGUAUGAAAAUUUUAACAAAAUAGAUGAGGUUCGGCUGUUGGUGCUUGACUAUCUGCAAGCUUAUCAGAGCCGAGUAAGCAGUACAUACAAUAAAAAAAUUAAGGCUAAACUUUUCACAGUUGGAGAUUUAGUCCUAAAUUUGUUUUACCGAUCGACCGAAAAGUCUGAAUAUAUGAAAAAUGGUCUCCAAAUUAGGAAGGCCCAUUCCAAAUAUACAAAGUUGUCAGAGGCAAUGCAUACUUUCUAAAGACAUUAGAUAGAUCAGAAAAUGACAAGCCGAUUGAUGAAAAAUAUUUAAAAAAGUAUUAUCCUUUCAUGUGAAAAGGCGAAUGAAAAUGUCACUAUAAAACAAACAAAAUAAAAGUCAGAAUAUAUUACAACCGAGGUAUAAAUAGAAAGCCGAUUAAGAUAAUAAAUCCUUGAGUUGAUUCUAUUCGGCUUCCAAGUUAGACUGAGCAAGAUCGAUUGUGUGUUUCCUUCAUUUCAUCAUAGGAUGGAGUUUAUAGAGUUGGGAGAGCUAAUCAUGUAUCACCAUUCCUUCAUCUUUCUUGCCCUGGUAUUGAGUUUGCAAGAAAACAUGCUCUUCAGAUGUAUGGGCCAAGGUUUUCACGGCUUCGGCAAGUUCCUCUCUGAGGUAAGCAAUGCGCUGCCGAAGAGCCGAUUCCUGAUCUUUCAAAACAUCAUCCCGCUUGUUGUAGUAGGUUAAUAGAGCUACUACCUCACUAGCCUUUGCCUUGAAGGAGCCGACUUGCGAGAAAUGGGCAUUCAAAGCAACAUGCUCGGUAGAGAGUGCUUGCUGUCAAGCCAAAAAAGAAGAAACAUUAGCACACAAAGUUUCCGCGAAAUAUCAACCUAAAUAAGACAAAUCAGGCUAAUCUAGGAGGUUGAGGAGAAGUGCUCCGAGCCAAUCGAAUUGUAUCAAGCUCCAAGCCAAAGUAGGAAGACCGCAAUUGUACAGUCUCAAACACUCAUCCAGUUUUUGUUGAGUGUCAGCCGAUGAAAUGGUGGGGAGGUCUUCUCCUUCAUUGGACAUAGGGCUCUAAGCAACCAAUUCUUGGAGAGAAAUGGCUAGAACAUCUGCCAAUCCGGGCGUCGAGAUAGCAACUGAAGUGGAAGUCUCAACUGGAGGCUCGUCGGAGAAAACUGGACCAACUCUCUCCCUCAUCCUGGUUUUGUCUUCUACUUGUUUCCUCUUCUCCUCAUCUUUCUUUUUCUCUUCUUCUUUCUUCUUUUUCUCCGCUUAUUUUUACUUCUUUUCUUCUUCUUCUUCUUUUUUCUCCUCUUUUUUUUUUUUUCUUUCUCUUCCACUAUUUUUUUUUUCUUCUUGUUUCUUUCUUUCUUUCUCCCUCUCUUCCUUACUUAUCUCGUCUUUCCGCUUUCUCUCUUCCGCUUGUUUUUUCUCUUGGUACAUCUCCCGACGAAAUUCCCUAUCCCGUUGGAGAAUCACUGACUUAAGUGCCGACAAGAAUCUAGUUCGAGGAACUAUUGCUGGAAUUCCGCCAAAGGCUGGCUCCUUCAGUUGUUCGACUGUCGACUCAUGCGGUAAAGAGUGAAGAGGAGAAGGAAAAUCGAUUAGAAUAGGCUGAGGUGUAUCUCGCUGAUGGAGGAGUCUAUUGUGGGCCUAUUUCGGCAGGUAUCGACUCGACAGAAGCCUUUGCUCGAACUGACUCGAACCCCUCUUCGACAGAAGCAGUGGCGUGAACCGAAGACAUAGGACCAGUGGUCGGUUCUUUGACAAGUGACAUGCUUUCUUCAGCCGACGCAGGUGAGGGAGGAGCGAAUUUUGACUGUAAUUAUUUUUUGCUGCUUUUGGUUCGACGGAGAAAUUGAAGAAACAGAUCCAAUCAAUCGCUUCUCUAACUUGGACAAUAGAGCGGGAACACGUACCGACUAAACAGAAUGAAAAGAAUAAAAACAAGUUGAAUAGAAGUAGAAGUACUAAGAGAGACGAAAUAUACGACUGACGGAUGAGGCAAGAUCUCUAGAUCCUUGUCAGACUCCUCACCUAAAUCCUUUUGUUCUGGAGAGUCAGGUGCGACUUCUUUACUCAUAGAAGCACCAACUAAGGAGCAAACAAAAGAAAUUAAAGAAAGAAAGAAAAAAUAAUCGAAUUGAAUCGAGAGUAGAUAUAAAUACUUUCUUCUGUAUGGAGGAUUUUUGUGAAAGAAAUAAGAUAAGGUCUUAAAAAAGAUAUAAUUGCAGAAAUAUUCCCAAGCACCUCAGAAGUGACAAUCAGUCACCCCUGUGUGAUUUGACCAAAAACCCAUAGGGGUAAAAAAGUGCCGGAGACGAUUCCUAUAGCCAAGAGUCGAUCUGCCUUGACUGCGCUCUUCGUGGGAGGAUGGCUACUGGCGGAGUUAACUGUAAAGAACUUGGAUAAAGCCGGGAUUGCUUGGACAAAUCCAAAUUGACGCACCAUAUAAUGGGGCAAUAAACUUUAGUACUCGGCGUCAACUUGGAACGAGUCUUCAAGCCAACGUGAAAAUCUCGUGGAGCCAAGAAUGAGUACCAAACCUCAAAAUAUUCGCUGGCGAAGUAUGAGGCCUUCUGAUCCUGGACAGCCUCCUACCGAGCGAUGAAUUAGACUGGGCUGGUUAGUCGCUCUCCAAAAAGGGACCAGUUGAUAGAAUGCCGAUGGUCUGUGGCAUAGAAAAGCCGAAAGUAUGUCGGAAAAUCAACAGGUUGGCCCCAAGUAAAGGGCUACGGGCAGCCGAGAGCCAGACUAUAUGUGUCAAAUUAAGGAGCCGAAUCUAGAUCGAGGGGGGUUUGGCACAAAACUGGAAAAUAAAUUUGCAAACAAAGUUGCAAAAACCAGAGAAUGUCGCAACAAGAGUCGAUCACCACACUGUUCUUCGAUGGCAGUGGCUUGAUCGACUCAAAGAUCUCUCGAUAGAGGAAAGAUUGAAAGGACGAAUGGAGUGCCAACUUCUCGCCAUAGGCCAACGCAACGGCAAUGGGGACAAAAUCUCGGUUGAUCUUCUACGAACAAGUGCCAAAAAGAUUGUGGCAGAGUCAGUAAAGGAGAAAAGCAAUACGCUCCUUCUUCGUGACCGGAGCAGGAGCCUGACCGGCAAACCGUCGCAUAAAUUUAGUGUAGACAAGGUCUGCCUUGGGAUCAAGAUGGACCUCAAACUCCGCCACACCAUCGAGGUUAUAGGUCAUAAAUAAGAUGACACCAUAAGGGUAGAGACCAAUGAUCGCCGCUAUAUCGAAAAGGGUCGGGAUGAAAGGCCCUUCCUUGAAGAAGAAAGUAUUAGAAAUUGGAGACCAGAAACAUAGAGCCGCAAAUUGGCGUAAGACACCUCAACUCAGUUCAACCAAGCCAAAAGGCGUCCGAAACGCGAGGCCAGGUACGAAGAUUUUUUCCUAAUGGCUUCAAGGUAGACCAAAAAGGGAGAUGAAUGACAUCGGCCAUUAGGAAAAGCCCUUCGGCCGAGAAAGAAAAGGCAUCAGGUGUAGGGAGGCGCCAUAAAAGAAAGGCCAAGCACAAAUCGAUAUGGGUCCAACUCGACAUACUGUCUGAGAAGAGUAUAGUCGAGAGACAGAGAAGAAGGAAGAGAAAGAAUCGGUGUCAUCGAAGGAGACUUGGAAUCGAAAGGAAGAAACAGAGGUUUGAAGAAGAAAACCCUUAAAAAAAAUGAGGAAAAUGGAAAAAGAGAAGACGAAGGGUUGCAAGAAAAGCGAAGCUGUUAUGAUGACGAAGUGACGGUAGCUAUUAAUGCCCUAGAUGAGACAAAAGGGUACAAGAAAUUAUAGCCGUCAAAGAAUGAAAUCAAGUACAGAGGUACGGCUAGGAAGAAUGGGCGAUGUAGAGCGUUCAAUCUCAACGUUCUAUAGCGGCUUUCAAUCUUGGCCAUUGCAAAAAGUGACGCCAAUCACCCGAAAUAGUUGUUCGAGAGGUUGCCGAGGGGGUAUUGUUGGCGCCAUAAAAACGGUGCCACGUGGUAAGUUAGCCUACACCACGUGGAGGGCUCCCAAAGCGAAAAGUGGAGAAGCAUGUGGUGCGCCAGGUUCUGAGAAGAAUACGCCCAAAACCGAACUUUGGUUAAGCGAGAUGCAGUUGAGACUGGGCAGGAGUGGCCCGAAGAGGGACCUGACCGAGAUACACCUCAUAAUGGGGAAUAACUGAAUAACGACAGGUGGGACUAUAACUAUACAAAAUACACUUUCUAGAAGGGUCUUUUUUUUCCAACGAACAAGAAGACCAUUCUAUUUCCAGUAUUUUUCUGCUUUUAUAGCAGUAGUCUACUUGUAGUAUUCAAUUUCUCUCGCAUUUUUCUUGUGAGACCCCAGAUAGUCAUAUAUAUAAGAUGUAAUAGGGCUGGAACUCUUAACCCGACUUAAGCAUUUUGGGUGGUGUCUAGUCCCAAGAGAUUAAGGGAGUUAAGCGUGCUAGGACGGAACUAAUCCUGGGAUGGGUAACCUCCUGGAAAAUUUGGGCAUCACAUUUUUAUUUUUCUAUGAGUAGUUUUUAAGAUAGAAUUCUUUGUAACAAUAAAACUCAUCAUUCUGUAAACUUCUUUCGCUUUGAAAUACAUAUCGGAAUCACUCAGCUCAUUUCAGCCGAAUAUAUAGUGGAGUGCUUGAAUUUGGAUGAGCGGAUCGCUCAUCAACCAAUCGCUUGAUUUAGUCUUGGGCUCACUCUCGAGGGUCACUUUCGGAAACCGUUCCUUUCUCUACUCGUUUCCCGAAGCGGAUCUCUGACUGAGUCAGUGGUCCAGAAAUCACUACAACAAAAACAGUCUAUAGCGACACUUUUAAAUAUCGGUACAGGUCAAAAAAAGUACUGCUAGUUAAAUUACCGACAGUUUUGAAUAGUGUCGCUAUAUGUGGGUUCGCUAGGUAUAUAGUGACAGUUAAAGAGUAUUGCUAUAGGCUAAAAAGAGUGCUGCUAAUUUACCAACACCUAUUUAAGCAUUUAACAACCGCCGGAACUCUACCUCGUUGGCUGCGGUGGCGGAGGAGGACAAGAGGGAAGAGAUCUUCAUCUAAGAUUUCAGUAGAUUAAGUGAAGGGAGAAUGGGGAUGGUAAUUGAUUUUUUUUUUUCUUUUUUAUUUGUAAUAGGCCGAAUGGGCUAGGUAGGGUGGGUUGAGUAGAGUAAUCUUUUAUUUUUGGUUGGAUUGAGCUUUAUACUUAGUCAUUAGUAUAUUUUUUUUUAAGUUUUGAUAUAAAUGAGACACUUAUAUAAAAAUGUUCUAAACAUGUGUCUCUAUAAUUUUAUUUUGUUGCAGUGAAUUCGACUCCCAACAGCUCAAUUUUUAAUAAUGACUAGUGAAAAGUACCAUUGAACAUGUCCAAAGGCCAUGGCUCUUGGUGAAAUAUGAAUAUUUCUGUUCAGUAACUUUAGUUUGACAAAUUUAAUGUCUGAUAUGGUACAUGCUAUUAUUAAAUUCUACAAUACUUCACUAAUCAAUAUAUUUUAGUUCUGUUUGAAAUUCAGUUGGACAAGUUAUAUUUCUUAGAGGCGUGCUACAAAUACAAUACACCACUUAGAUCAUAGCUAUUAACUUUUUAAAAAAUUAACGGCUGAGAUGUCACUUUGACUUCAUAAGAACCGACUAUUGAAGCCCGGUACGAGUCAUCCAAUAGGAAUAAAAAAUUACUAGUGAUCCGCGCAAUGCAGCGAAUAAAUAUAUUAUAAUUUUUUAAAAUUUAAAUUCGAAAUUUUAGAUCCUUAUAUUUCUAUAAGUUAUUUUGUAAAGAGUAGAAUACAUUUACUUUAAAAGUUUUAGUAAUUUUAAACUAUAUUAAAAAGUAUGAAGAUUCUUUUUUGAACAUUUCAAUUUUUUACACUGAAGCAUCACGAUAGAUAUCAAAACACAUUUAUUUCUGACAACUUUAUAUAGAUGGCUUAUUAUAUAGAUAGUGACGUGUAUGUUUAAUAAGAAACAAUAGAAAAUAUAUUUAGCAAACAAAUUCUAAUAUAUUCAUUAGAUUGCGCUAAGUAUGGCGUUAGGUUGCGUAAUAAUUGAUCAUUGCAAAACUUCUAAACCCUAAUAUAAACAAAUCUACCAAAAUUUUCAAUACAAUCAAAUCAUUAUACAAUGGAGAUAUUAUGAUUUGUAAACAAAAAUAAAUAUAAAAAUUUAUAACAUAGUAACCAAAAUAUUAAAAGCAAAUAUUAAAAAAAUAUAGAAAUCCUAAAAAAAAAUUAUCUUAAAUUUGAAGAGUCGAAUCUCACGUAAUUUAAAAUAUACUGUACGGUAGAAAAAUCUGAUUAAACAAAUAAAACAUCAAAUUCAAAUCAAAGAAAAACAUUUCAAAAUAUAGUUAAUCGUUACAGGCAGAUACGGUCAAUUUUCUUGAGACAAAAUAAACAGUAUUUAGUAUAUCAUUUUUUAUUCAUCCAAAAUGAGUAUGAAUACAACCCUUUAUAUAGACUCUAAAAUAACAUUUAAUAUUCUAGGAUGACUUUUCAUUUUCUUGUAUUAAAAUAUAUGACUUUUUAUAUUUCCAACUUUUUAAAUUCUUAAAUUUAUUAAGUUAUCCAAUAUUUCAACUUCUAAUUAAUUUUAAAAAAUAAUAAAAAAAUUGGUGGGUCCGACACCAUUAAUUUAAGGGGUAGUAGGGCCACAUUCCCAAAUCAACGGGAUGGUGAUCUAUCCAUAGAAAAAAAAAAUGAUGAAUGAAAAAAUUCAAUUAAUUUGAAAAAAUAAAAAAAAUAGAUGACUUUUCAUAUUUCCAACUUUUGAAAUUCUUCAAUAUAUUAAGUUAUCCAACCUUUCAACUUCUAAUUAAUUUUAAAAAAAUAAUAAAAAAAUUGGUGGGACCCACACCAUUAAUUUAAGGGGUAGUGGGGUCUAUCCCCAAAUUAGAGGGAUGAUAAUCUAACCAUAAAACAAAAUGAUAAAAAAAAAAUUCAAUUAAUUUGAAAAAAUAAAAAAAUUAAUGGGACCCACACUCCUAAAUUAAAGAGGUUGGGCCACAUCACUUUUAAGAACAUAAGAAUUCAUAGUUUUAUAUAGAUAUAGAUUUUGGUGCAAUGAAAUUCCUCAAUCAUAUCUUAAGAAUGGUAUUAUGAACUUUUAUAUUUCUAAAUUUAUUCCUAAUUUAUUCCUAACUAGCGUAGGGACCUACGCUAUGCGACGGAUAAAAAUAUUUUAGUAAAAAUCUAAAGAGUACAGAUUUAAUAAACAAAUGUUAAAAAGAAACAGAAGAAAUAAUUAAAAUAUUAUGAAAGAUAAUAAAUAAUGAGAGAAAAACUAAAGAAGCUUAAAUUCACAUUUAACUAAUCAUAUUUAUCUAUUCUAUCAUCUUUCCUAACUCAAAUUAGAUUUCUUUUAAAAGCCAAUCAUUAUGCGGGCGGUUUUAGAAGAUGAGGGGUCUUGGAGGUUGGAAAAUGAGAAGGGAACGGUUUUGAAAGAUGAGGGGUCUCAGGAGGUUGAGAGAUGAGAGGGGAGCAGUUUUAGGAAAAGGAGGUCACGUCACGUCAGCAAGAUAUUGAGAAUUCAUAGAUUAGUAUAGAUACACCACUUAGGGACUGUUUGGUUACAUGCAUUUCCAACCGCUAUGCAUGCAUCUAUUAAUUUUUUGUUUGGUUUGGUGUAGUUAGGUCCAAUUGCUGCCGUUGCAUCUAUACGGAAAGGCCCAACUGCAGCAGUUGGUACUGCAGCCAAUUUUGACUGCAGUACCAACUGCUGCAGCUGGGCCGGAGUCAACUCACCCAUUAAAAAAAAACAAAGUGUGAUUUCCUUUUCAUUCGUUUCUUUUUUAUUUUUUUUUAAAAUACAUAUUCAUGAAAUCGGAUAGGAUUUAGUAAUAUUUGUUAGGGUCAAUAAAUUUUUUUCAUACACUUCUUAUUUUUCAAUCAUCUAGUUUAAUAAUAUUUUUAUUUUUAUUUUUUACCAAAUUUAUAUAUUUAUAUUUAAAAUUUAUUAAAUUCAUACUUAAGUUUAUAAUAUAUAAAUUAUAUAUAGAUUUAAAAGUCUUAAUUAAUAAUUAAAACAUGAUUACGUCAUACUCAGAAGAAGUAAUCUCACAUUUCUAUCAAAAAAUUGACAGAAUUUAUAAAUAUAAAUCUCAACUGCAGACUACCAAACAGAAGAAAUAUAACUACAGUAGUUGCAACUGUAUAAACCAAACAGACUAGGUGUAGUUAUGACUGCAGCAUUUAUAACUGUAUGUAAUUUUAAUUACACUAUUUUUAUAACUACAUCCAACCAACCGGCCCUUUAAUGAUUUUUGGAGAGAGAAAUCAACUCCUUUCUUUUGAGGUUAUGGUGUUACGGUGUCGAUUUUGAGAGAACUCUCUAUCUAAUUACACCAUGUUAUUUAAAAAGAAAAAAAAAACUUUUAAAUAUAGACAUUCGAAUUGUGAAUUUAAUAUUGGAAGAAAUUAAAAUUUUGAAAUUUGAAUCAAAUUCAAAAUAUCCUAACAUAUAUAGUACCAAUUAAAAUAAAACUUUCAAUUCAAAUUACAUUUCCAUUUCAAUUUAAAGAAAGAAGUUGGUUUCGUAAGUUAUAGAGCAUAUUAAAUUCAAAUUUAAAAUUAAUAUUCAAAAACAGAAACUUUAUAUUUAACUAAAUAAUAAAAGUUAGGUUUAUAAGUAAUAGUACAAAUUAAAUUCGAAUUUAAAAUUCAAAUUUAAUUUUCAAAAAUAAAAUUCUUUAUUUCGAAAUAAAUAAUAAAUUUUGAAUCCAAAUUGUUAAUUCAAUAUCGAAACAACAUAAAAUUUCGAAAAUCUUAAUCAAAUUCAAAUUUGUCUUGACAAUAAAUUCAAAUUGAUAAUAAAAACUUUUGAUUCAAUUUUGAUCAAAAACUUACAUUUCAAAUUAAAUUUUAAAUUCAAAUUUAGUUUAUUUAUUGAGGAGUUAGCUACUUAACAAAUUAGCCACUAUCUAAUUACAUAAGUCGGGAAAUCAAGUAAAGAAACAAAAAAUUGUAGGGCACAUAAUCGGCUAGUAAGGAAACAAAUUAGCCAUUUCAAUUCAAAUUUAGCAUUCCAAUUUCAACCUAAAGUGAGAAGUUGGUUUCAUAAAUACUAGCGUAAAUUAAAAUAAAAUUAUAUUUUUCAAUUUAAUUUUCAAACAUAUAAACUUUAUGUUCAAAUAAAUAACUAAAAUUGGGUUUAUAAGUAACAAUAUAAAUCAAAUUCGAACUUAAAAUUUAAAUUGAAUUCAAAAAUAAAAGUUAUAUUUAAAUAAAUAAUAAAUUUUGAAUUCAAAUUUGUUAAAUCAAUAUUGAAGAGUUCAAAAUUUUAAAAUAAUGGCUUAAUUACACUAUACUAGCUUGUACUUCACAAAAUUUUCACUUUCUACUGUGUACUUUUUUUCUUCUUUUUUUUUUUCACCGAAGGCACCACUCAACCAUCUUUUUUUCAAUUCCUAGGAUUAUUGGGGUGUCACAAACUCUCCACGUUAAGGCCCUGGCGUCCUUGUUAGUCCAAUCACACACACAGCCCAAGAUCACCAGGCGAUGUGAGACUCGUCUCGCUAGCCCGUCAUCCAGACCCUAGCUCAGCAGAAACUCGCCACACAUGUCCAGUUGAUGAACCGGCUCUGAUACCAAAUGUAACGACCCGACCCGCUAGCAAUAAUAACUCGUUGGGCCCAACCACCAGCCUAAAAUGCUUAUGCCAGUUAUUAUUAGCAGCGUGGAGGUCUCAUAUAAACUGAUCGGAAUCAAUAUCCUAUCCGAUGUGGGAUUAUUGGGGCGUUACAAACUCUCCCUGUUUAGACCCUGACGUCCUCGUCGGGUCCAAACCAGAUCACAGACAGACAGACCAGAACCAGGACCAUUACCAGGCGAUCUGAGAUUGUAGAGGUGGCUCCUACGGGUUCAAGAGGUGGCUCACACCAAACCCGUUGGUGUAGCACUUUGUCCCGCAUAGCACUUAGUUCUCACACUUCCGGCUAGUAUUUGCUCUGAUACCAAUUGCAACAAUCCGACCUGCUAGCAACAAUAACUCGUUGGACCCAAACCACCGGUCCAAAAUGCUUAAGCCCAGUUAUUAUUACUAGUGUUUAAGUCUCUUAUAAACCCAAUGACAACAAUCUCAUUCCCAUCCGAUGUGGGAUUAUUGGGGUGUUACAGACUCCCCCCAUUAUUUCCAUCCGAUGUGGGAUCCGUUAAGGCCCUGACGUCCUCGUCAGUCCAAUCACACACAUCCGAUGUAUCCGAUGUGGGAUUAUGUAUCCGAUGUGGGAUUAUUGGGGUGUUACAGACUCCCCCCGUUAAGGAUCUGACAUCCUCGUAAGUCCAAUCACACACACAGCCCAAGAUCACCAACCGAUGUGAGACUCGUCUCGCUAGCCCGUCAUCCAGACCCUGUCUCAGCCGAGACUCGCCACACAUGUCCAGCUGGUGAACCGGCUCUGAUACCAAAUGUAACAACCCGACCCGUUAGCAACAAUAACUCGUUGGGCCCAAACCACUGACCCAAAAUGCUUAAGCCCAGUUAUUAUAACUAGCAUGUAGGUCUCAUAUAUUCUAAUCAGAAUUAGUUUCUCACCCGAUGUGGGAUUAUUGGGGGCGUUACAAACUCCCCCUGUUUAGACCUUGACGUCCUCGUCGGGUCCAAACCAGAUAGCGAUGUGAAAUUCUAGAGGUGGCUCCUACGGGUUCAAGAGGUGGCUCCCACCAAAUCUGUUGGUGUAGCAUUUUGUCCUGCAUAGCACUUAGUUCUCACACUUCCGGCUGGUAUUUGCUCUGAUACCAAAUGUAACGACUCAGCCCACUGGCAAUAAUAGCCCAACACUGGCAAUAAUAACUCGUUGGGCUGUUGGCCGCAUAGCACUUAGUUCUCACACUUCCGGCUGGUAUUUGCUCUGAUAUCAAAUGUAACGACCCAGCCCACUGGCAAUAAUAACUCGUUGGGCCUUACCAACAGCCCAAAAUGCUUAAGUCUCAUAUAUUCUAAUCAGAAUUAGUUUUCCACCCGAUGUUGGACUAUUGGGUAGAAUUAGUUUCCCACCCGAUGUGGGAUGUGGGACUAUUGGGGACGUUACAAACUCCCGACGUUAGUCUAAUCACACACAGUUCAAGAUCACCAGGCGAUGUGAGACUCGUCUCGCUAGCCCGUCAUCCAGAUCCUGGCUCAGCCGGGACUCGCCACACAUGUCCAGCUGGUGGACCAGCUCUAAUACCAAAUGUAACGACCCGACCCGCUAGCAAUAAUAACUCGUUGGGCCCAAACCAUUGGCCCAAAAUAUUUAAGCCCAGUUAUUAUAACUAGCGUGUAGAUCUCAUAUAUUCUAAUGAGAAUUAGUUUCCCACCCGAUGUGGGACUAUUGGGGGCAUUACAUAAAGAAUAAUAAAAUACAUAAAAAUUAAAAAAAGGAAAUAAAACAAUAGAAGCCGUAAAUGAGUAUAGCAUAUAGCAUCAAUUUAUAUUUUUUUCUACUAUUUAAUUAGUUCUUUGAAAAAAAAUUGUUAAAUUUUGUCUCAACUAAUAGAUUUGUUAACAAUAGUGUAGAGAUUGGUCAAAUUCUUUUAACCAAUGCCUUUUGAAGGAAUUUGGUUUAAAUUCUUUCCUCUCAAAAUCAUUAAAAAGAUGCUAGAUAUCAUAAAUACUUCAUAAAAUUUCAAUGUAUUCUAACUCAUCCAUCAAACCGUCCCAAAUUGGACUAUUUAUAAUGAUUGAUUGGAUGGAAUUGCUAGUUUAACAAUUAAAUGUAAUUCAAAUAAGUUAAAAAUUUGUUAGAAAAUUCUUUCUUAGAGAGAAUGGUGAUUUUGACUAGGCUUGACAAACGAACGAAUUGAAUAAUCCGUAGGUGGAUUAUUAUAUUCGCAGGUCAUAUAGGUAUAAGUAAAAUUUAUCCAUAAAUUUUUGCAUAGUCAAUAUUUUUUUACCCGUACACACCCAUGAGCGGUAGGACGAGUAUGCAGGUUACCUGCAAAGACUUCUUUUUUCGCUCCUAUACUUUCCAAAUCAAAACAGAUAAAUAUAUUUUUUAAAAGCAUGAAAAACAUAAUUUAUUUAGUAAAGUAUCACAACAUAUAAACAAUAUAAAAUUUUAAAAUGCAUAAGUUAUAUAUAAAAGUAUUUUAUCAUUCCAAAUUUUUGAGAUACAAAAUUAAUUAAGUUUUCGUGAUUAUAUAGUCAAUAUUAUAAAGAUUACACUUUUUAAUUAAAAAAUAUAUAUGCAGGUAUUCGUAGGUAUAAGCGCGUUGCCCAAAAUGCCCACAAUUUAACGGAUACCCACCAAUUUUACUUAUAAUUUUUUGGGUAGGAAAAACUAGUAUCCAUAUCUGCAAAUUUGCUAGUAAUAUGCGGAUACCCGUGAGUACGGAUAGAGAUUGUCAAGUCUAACUUUGACAGAGACUAGAAUACUUUUUAAAAGCAAACCGAUGCUUUUACUUCCGCACCAUUUUCAGUGAUGGAUCAUCAAAACUGAUGAUCGGCGCCAUUACAUGAGCUAGACUAUUUGAACUUCGCAAAAAUUGAAUUUUGUAAUUUUAAGAUAUCAUUUAGGUCAAAUGAUUGAAGCCUAUUUUUCUCUCAAAAAAAAAAAAAAAAAACAGAUAGCUCGCUAUCUUUCUCUUAAAAAAAAAAGAAAGAUGGUAUUUGCCUAUUCACCAUGUGUUGUCGAAUUCAUCUUAUAUUAAUCAUAUAAAAUUGUCAAUAUUUAAACCACUUGAAUACAAAACAAAUAAUUUCGAAAAAUUACAAAAUUUGAUUCCUAAAAGAUUUAAAUAAUUUAGAUCAGGUCUCGAUGGUCUUCGGAUGCCCCAUCGCGGAAAACAAUGACCUCAUUUUUCUAUUCCUAUAAACAGGAUGGUCGAGUAAAAGUUAAAAUAGAUGAAUGGAUGAUGGAUUCGUGAAUACGCUACACUCAAGGAACAAUUUCUCAUUGCCAAAUGAAUUUUUAGUGUUCUUAAUUAUUAUGGCAUGUGAGAUUUGCACACACAGCAAGAAUAUUCACAUUAAUUAAUCUACAUUAUCUUAAUUGGUGCUAAUUAAGGAUAGACUUCUUGAUGAUGAACAAGAGUUUAUUUGAUCACAAAGACUGUCAUGAAUAUUAGUCAUGUAAUAUUUGCCCUUCUCUGCUAACUUUUUUUGUGGGGUAAAUUGCAUGUUUGGUCCUCAAACUAUGAGUCUGGUGAAACUUUGGUCCUCAAUUUUUAAUUUGUUAUAAUUUUUGCUUGAAUUUUAAAAAUUAUUGCAAUUAAGUCCCAAACUUAACUUUGAUGGCCAAGUUUUAAUAGAUUGUUAAUGUAGAAGUGACGUGAAAGUGUUGUGAUUGAGAAUACAUCAAUAGUUAAGAUGCUACAUCCCAUUUACAUUAAUGAUGUAUCAAUAUAUAGUCAACUAAAUUAGGUUGUGGGACUUAAUUGUUGUAAUAAUUUCAAAAGUUUGGGGCACAAUUGCUACAAAUUAAAGUUUGGGACCAAGAUUUCACCCACCUUAUAGUUUGAAAACCAAACGUGCAAUUUGCCCUUUUUCUUAAAAUUAUCAUUUGUGAUGUACCUGAUUUGUAUUUCUCGGACAAAAAAAUUAGUUAUUUCUAUAGCCCUAUUAAGUACGCAUUUAAAGUUGUUUUUUCAUAAAUUUUUAGUAUUUAUUUUUGUCUACAAAAUCAUCACUAAUUUUCAAAGCUUUUACUUCUAAGCUAUUUUUAAGUUGUUUUGCUUAUGCACUAACAUUUUGAUUCUUUUUUUGGCAGAUUAAAUGCGCGACGAGAUCAAUGCACUGAAUUUCUAAGCACUAAAAUCUUUAAGAACUUUCACUACCAAGAAACAAUAAUGGCCGAGGUUGCAAUACUUUUAGCCAUUCAAAAGCUUGGUCUUGCAUUAGGUACAGAACUGCUGAACCAAGCUAGCUCUCUAUUUUCACAACAACUAGCAUCAUUGGCAGAGCUCCCUAAUAGUAUGGAACGCAUGAGCCGUGAACUCCAUGUGAUUCAUGGAUUCCUACUUCACAUCGAUAAGGUAGAUAGAAAAAAUCAAAUCCUAGAAGCAUGGAUAGAGGAGGUACGAAAAGUCGCAUAUACUAUUGAGGAUAUUGCGGAUGAGUAUAUCUAUCUUAUAGUUCAAGAUAAGCAACGACAAGGUGGACUGGUUGGUUAUAUGAAACAAGUGUUGAAGCAACCAAAAUCGUUUAAUAUCUUGCCUCGUAUUGCCUCUCAAAUAAAACAAGUAGAGAACGGCCUUGACCACCUCUCACGCUUAAAAGAUCGAUGGAUUCAAACAACAAGUAUUGGGCAUAGUACUAGUUCAGGUAAUGUGAGCGAAUGGACACAACAUAUGGGAAGCUCUUCUCUUUUCAUGGGUGAGGAACACCUCGUAGGGAUUGAGGAAGACCGAGAUACGUUAACUUAUUGGUUGAAGUCUGAGAAAUUGGAUCUCUGCAUAAUAACAGUGUGGGGUAUGGGCGGGCUCGGAAAAACUACUUUAGUCACCAAUGUUUAUAAAAGAGAGAGUAGAAAUUUUGACUGCUUUGCCUGGAUUUCUAUUUCUCAAACUUUUAAAGCUGAUGUUCUUUUUCGAAAAAUGAUUACUGAACUCUUUGGCGACCAAAAGAUAGUUCCAACUGACAUUGCCACCAUGGAUGAUAGAAAGUUAAGGGAGAAAGUAAAAGAAUUAUUAGGCCAAAAAAAGUAUCUAAUUGUACUAGAUGAUGUAUGGGACCCGCGAGCAUUUUAUGAAUUGCAAGAUUCUCUUGUUGAUGAUCAGAAAGGAAGUAGAAUAUUUAUUACAACCAGAAAUGAAGAAGUAGCAUCACUUGCAAACAAAGACUAUAAGCUUGAACUCAAACCUUUAUCCCCUCGUGAUGCGUGGAAUCUUUUCUGCAAGAGAGCAUUUAGGAACGAAGGAAAUCAAAAAUGUCUUCGGGAGUUAAAAAAAUGUGCAGGCAAAAUCGUGGCCAAGUGCAAAGGGUUGCCACUAGCUAUUGUAUCACUUGGCAAUCUCCUGUGCUUAAGAGAGAAUAGAGAGACUGAAUGGAAGCGAGUUUGUGAUCAGCUUAAUUACGAGCUUGCAAACAACCCAAGUCUCAAUCCCGUGAGAAACAUCUUGAAUUUGAGCUUCGACUGUCUUCCAAGACAUCUAAAGAAUUGCUUCCUCUCUUGCAGCAUGUUCCCAGAGAAUCAUCUUCUUAAAAGAAAAUUGCUUAUCAGGCUAUGGAUAGCAGAGGGUUUUGCAGUAGAAAGAGGAUCAAGCACGGCUGAGGAAGUUGCAGAAGGAUACCUCAUGGAGCUUAUCCGUCAGAGCAUGUUGCAAGUAGAAGAGAAGAACCACUUUGGUAGGGUAAUGUAUUGUCGGAUGCAUAAUCUUGUUCGUGAGCUGGCUGUCUCUUUAUCUGAAAGGGAGAAGUUUCACAGUAUUUAUCAGGAUAACGGGAGGGAAAGGGUGGUCGAUGCUAAUGCCCGUCGCCUGUCUGUUCUCAAAUGCAGCAAUGAUAUUGGAUUCGACAUUGAUCUACCACGGCUACGAACCUUUAUAGCAUUUGACACUACUAUGCCAUCAUCCUCAUUUUUACCUAUGUUUCCAUCCAAAUCAAGGUAUAUUGCAAUUCUGGAACUGCAAGGCUUUCCUAUUGAGAAUAUACCCAAUGCUAUUGGAGACUUAUUCAAUUUGCGAUAUUUGGGUUUAAGAGAUACAAAGGUAAAAUUACUACCAAAAUCCAUUGGCAAGCUUUCCAACUUGUUGAUCUUGGACCUCUGUCGAUCAGCUAUACAAAAGCUGCCUCGUGAGAUCACGAAUCUCAAGAAGUUGCGGCACAUGUUUGUUGAGAGGGUAAAUGACCCGACCGGAAAAGCCUUUCGCUUGCGUAGUGGUGUACGUGCACCAAAGGGUUUGUGGAAUUUAAAAGAAUUGCAAACGUUGCAGGCGGUUGAAGCAAGUAGCGAGUUGGUUGGGCGACUAGGAAAUUUGACCAACCUAAGAAGCUUUAGAAUAUGGAAUGUAAAGGAAACCUACUCUGCACAACUGUGUGCAUCAUUAUCACAGAUGCGUAGUCUUUCCUACUUAAGCAUUAAUGCAAGUGAUGAAAAUGAGUUUCUCAAUUUGAAAGGCCUGAAUCCCCCUCCCACGAAUCUUAAAAAGCUUACUCUAACAGGUAGAUUGGCAGCAGGAACGAUGGAGUGUCCUUUGUUCCAAGAUCUCCGAGAAUUAUGUCUAGUUUGGUGUCAGCUAACUGUGGAUCCACUUCCGUCACUCGCUCACUUAUCAAACCUCACUUACCUACUUCUUCAAGGGGCGUAUAAUGGGCAUCAGUUGUGCUUUCGUGUUCAGUGGUUCCCUAAUUUGAAGCUGCUUCACUUGAUUGACCUGCUGCAACUCGAACGAGUGAUGAUAGAGGAGACAGCCAUGUCAAACUUGGAAACUCUAUAUAUGGAAGACCUCAAAAAACUAAUAGAGGUCCCAGAAGGCAUUGAAUUCCUCACAUCGUUGCGGAAGCUAGUUUUGUAUGAUAUGGAUCCUCGUUUGACCAGUGGUUUAGAAGAAAACGACAAACUUGGACACAUCAGCUCCAUCUAUACUAAGUAGGAAGCACUCGAGGUGCCUUCUUUUCGCCUGGAUUCACUCACAAGUAAGUUUCUGCAUGUUUAAUUCAAUUGUGUGAAUAUCUUGCUCACAAAUUUCACCCCCGUGCGUUCUUUUACAAAGUUCACCAAGUUUUCAUGUUUAAUCCAACACUACUUGCGUACGACACAUAAACUAUGUUAGUAUGCAUAUCUUAUGUCUAAUUUAUUGAUUUUCUCUUCUUUGAUUUGAUUUUUCUUCGUUUUAAUCUCAUUUGGAUCCACAAGCAUAUGAUUAAUAUAUUUUUAUGAACUUAAAUUCCAUAAUAAAAUUCCUAGUUAGGCAAUUGCUAAAACAUUGUUUUUUUCAAUACAGUAUAGUUCUGAUCUCAUAUUUAUUUAGCCAACAUAUAAAUUGCUAGGAACAUAUGGAAGUGCGAGAAAAGAGCGAGAGUAGCGAGAUUAGAAGUGUAGGGAGUGAGGAAGGAGGUCAGGAGAAGUUAAGGAGGAGCCUGUGUCGAGAUAAGGGGAGGAAGAAGCGGAAGUCGAAGAGGCUAGCUUGGGCAGACGAAGUAGGUGGAAAGUUAUUGAAGGUCUUCGACAAUCAUGAUGACGAAGAUGUGGCCUUUCACGCUGCAUACGAGGUAGGUGGAAAGUUAUUGAAGGUCUUCGACGAUCAUGAUGACGAAGAUGUGGCCUUUCAAGCUGCAGACGAGGUAGGUAGAAAGUUAUUGAAGGUCUUCGACGAUCAUGAUGACGAAGAUGUGGCCCUUCACGCUUCCACCAAAGGUGACUCCCGAGGGAAAAAGGUAGGUUUUAAUGAUGACCCCUCCUAGGCGUGCUUAGGGCUUCACCUAAGGGGGCUGGGAGUGGGAGGCCGGCCUUACCUGCUUUCAGCAAAGGAGACCGCCGAGGAAAAAAGCUUGGUUUUAAUGAUGAACACCUUUUGGGUGUGCUUCGGGCUUCGCUAGAGGGUUCGGGGAGCGAGAGGUUGGUUUUACGUGCAUCCAGCAAAGGCAUCCCCCGAGGGGAAAAAGUGGAGGUUAAUGCAGAUCACCCUCCGGGAGUGCUACAGGCUGCGCCUGACGGCUCAAGGAGGGGGAAAAAGACCAGGGGGGAAAGUGGCGACAUUUACUACCCUAAGCUUGCUUCUGGGUCCUAUAAGGAGGCGCUGAUGAGAGCUCCGAGAAAACAGCCUCCUACUAACACUCGCCAAGCUUUUCGUAUAUCUCAUCCUUCUGGCCUCACGGGUUUUCCGAACCGUAGACGAGAGGUGAGGUGCUUCCGGUGUCUCGCGAGAGAUCACAGAGUAGCGGAGUGCCGCGACCCUGUGCGGUGCUCCAGGUGCUGGAAAACGGGACACCGAGCUCGCAGCUGCGGAGGACUAAGGAAGAGAGGUCACUUCGGCAUGAAUAGGGAGGUGCACCGUAGAGCACGAGUACCCCUGCCGAAGGUGUACAUUCCGUACACGGAGGAGUACCUGCGGAGAGUGGAAAUGAGACGGAAUGCCAUCCUUGCGGAUGUGAUCCAGCCGGCUAACCUUGGACCGGAUCCUAUUUCUACCAUCAAGAGUGCCUUGGCGAGUCGGUUCGGGGGGUACAAAGAUGACUUCGCGGUGGCGCGUUGCAGGGAAAGGGAAUACGCAAUAUUCCUACCGGAAUGGGCCCUGGCACCAGCGCUCGUCCGAAGGGAAAUCCUAACCCUCAACAACUUCUGGUUAAGGGUUUACCCCUGGGGUCAGUAUCGCUAUGUUCGUCCACACCCUGCUCGCUUUCGAGCUUGGAUCCGUCUUAUAAAUCUUCCAUUCGAGAUAUGGUCGGUGGCGCGCGUGGCGACGCUAGUCAGUGGUUUUGGACGCUUCAUAAAGGCGGACGGAGUGACCAAGGCGAUGACGGAUUUUCGAGCUUUUCGGUGCCAAAUCAGCCUUGACUCGAUCGGUGCUAUCCCCCAGAACCUAUUGGUCAUUAUCGGCGACGAACUGUUCUCGGUUAUGGUCCAUCUGGAGAGCUAGGAACGGAUAGAGAACGCGGGGAUUCCGGCACCCCCUGCGAACGGGCAGGAGGACGACGGGGCGCUGAUGGGAGACCGGCAAAACAGGCAACCCGAUAUUGGAGGAAACAGAGGAAAUGACCAGACGGACGAAGAGAUGGAAAACGAGGAGGGAGAGCUAGAGGAAGUUGAGCCCGCUCUGUCGACGCAGAGGGGGAGGGGGACCUCAAGGGCUUCUAGGCUGCCCAUGGUUACCGACCUGGCUUCUGCGGCGGCGAGGUUUCGGGCGACGGCGAGGGUCUGCGCGGUGCAGGGACGAGUGGUCUGGGUGGCAACGGGCCGUUCCUGUGCGAGAUUCGAGGCCUCAGGUGAACCCGAAUCGAGGCACGCAAGGAGAGGCGGGCCUUCCAAGACUUGCAGGAUUUUGGACUGUUGGUCCAGUGGGUGUUGGGGAAAGCCUCUCUCUCUCUUUAGCUCUCGUUCUGGGGGCGUAUCUCGGGAGAAAUUCUCUCCUAGCAGGGUGGGUGAGGGGCCCAUUGUAUUUAAUGCUAAUAUGGGAUUUGAUGUGGCCGCAUGUAUUACUGAAACUAAGUGGGAGGGAGGAAGGCAUAGUGCUCGACUAGCGAGACUCUGGAGACUAGCAAUGGGCGUCUGCAGUAUCCCGUUUCGACUUUUGAAUCAGGUGCGGCGCAAGGAGGUACCUUAGUGCUACCUUCCACGGCGGCGGACUUGGUCAUGACGGGGGCAUCAUCGAAUCUCCUCUUGGUCCGUUCCGGCGAAGACAGCCCCCUCCUUAACUUCCGCCGUCGCAGUGAGCGCCUUAAUAGUGUUGACAAGAGCUCGGUCCUGCACAAAGCUAUGUCGUGGAAGGCUAGGCUACUGGAAGGUGAGGGCAGCAGGGUGGUUGACCAUACUGUUCGAAAGGCCAUUCAUAAUAGUCGGUCCUGUGGGGUGAAUCUGGGAGUGGCGAAGGCGGAAAGUUUCGUCGGCUUCGCAGCUUAUUGUGCUUAGGGUGGGACGGUCUGUUGGUUUACUGGUUGACCUUUGGGUCUCUUGGGGUCUUGGGGUUCAGGGUGUCUUAGUGUCUUUUUAGAUGUUUCGUGUUUGUAGUUGGAAUGUUAGAGGGCUUAACGACCCGUCUAAAAGUAACGCCGUUAGGGCGGUGAUCUCUAAGUUAUGUAAUGCGGUAGUGUGUCUUCAGGAGUCUAAAGUGAGUCAUGUUUCGGGAUCCUUUCUGAGAAGCUUUGGUGGUUCGUUUAUCGACAAAUGCGUUUUUGUGGAAUCUAAUGGUGCCUCUGGGGGUUUAAUAUAUUGCUGGAGUUCACGUGUCUUCUCUUGCCAUGAAGUCAUUGUGCGACGAUUUUCCAUUACGACACUGCUGACUCAUGUAGCAUCGCAAGCUAAGUUCUUUGUUACUAAUGUGUAUGGACCCCCCACGUAGGAAGGCAAAGAGGAGUUCUGCUCGGAGGUUGCUCAAUUGAAAGUAUGCUGCACGGGGAAAUGGAUUGUCUGUGGAGACUUUAAUAGUACUAGAGGACAGAACGAGCGGAGGGGGAAAACCUGGAGCCUAAAAGCAACCCACAUAUUCAACGAUCUUAUUAAAGGACUGGCUCUGAUCGAUCUGCCUAUGGUGAACCAAUCCUUCACCUGGUCUAACAUGCAGACGAACCCGACUCUAGCUAGACUCGACCAUUUUCUAGUUUCGACCGAAUGGGAUUUGGAUUAUCUGCUGACCAAGGUUGAAGCCUUACCCAGAGUGACGUCAGAUCAUUACCCUAUUCUGUUGACUACCAAGCGAUCCGAUACGCUGAAGAACAAGAACAAGAUCUUUCGCUUUGAAGAGGCAUGGUUGAACCACGAGGACUUUGUAUCAAAAGUCUUGGACUGGGGGAGGGAGGGGGCUCAGAAGAAAUCGGCUGUACUAGCUUUCGCCGAGAAACUUAGACACUGUAGAACAAGAAUUAAAGAGUGAUGUACGAACGAAUUUUACAGCAUCCGUGGACUUAAAUCUAAAAUUAUGGGAGAGAUCCAGGAAAUCGAUGGCUGUGAAGAACUGCGGGAGCUAUCACAAGACCAGUACUCGAAAAGAGAGGAGCUCAAAGAUAAACUUCGGAAGGUCUUAAACGACGAGGCGGACCUGUGGAGAAUCCGGGCCAAACAGCACUGGCUGCAGGAGGGGGACGGAAACACUAAAUUUUUUCAUUCCAUAGCAAACGAAAGGAAAAGAACAAAUGGUAUUGGUACGAUUAAGGACAACGGAGGUGUGUACCAAUCAGACGACGAAAAGAGGAACUAUUUUUAUCGCAAAUUUAAGGAGCUCUUCACGUCGGAUGCGACGACCCCGACUUCCUUUGGGGAUUGGAGCGGCCUCUUCACCACGAACCGCGUGUCCAAACCCAAUAUAGCCCGUCUGACCGAACCAUUUAGUACCGCAGAAAUUAAGGAAGCAAUAUUCCAACUAGGGAGCGACAAGGCGCCAGGUCCGGAUGCAUUUCCGCUAAGGUUUUAUCAACUCUUUUGGGAUUCUUUAGAAGGGGAUAUAUCGGCGCUCUUCCGCGACAUGCAUGAGGGAAGACUUACCACUGACCCUAUUGACUACUCGUUCAUCUGUCUCAUUCCCAAAAAAGAGGGGGCGGAGCGGGCGAGCGAAUUCCGGCCUAUAAGCUUACUUAACGGUAUCCAGAAAAUCCUGUCGAAGGUCUUGGCUAACCGGCUGGAACCGAUUAUGGAUGACCUUAUUUCCCCUUCCCAGUCGGCAUUCCUGAAGGGGAGGAGCAUAUCUGACGCCUUCGUUGCAGCAUCUGAAUUACUUGGCUGGGGAUGUAAGAAGGCUAUCGAAGUGGUCGGGUUGAAGGUGGACUUCAAAAAAGCUUACGAUCGGAUCAGUUGGCCUUUUCUAUUCCAAAUUCUAGACUGGUUCGGCUUUGACACUAAAUGGAUCGAUUGGAUCAAGCUUUGUGUGUGCUCGGCAAAAGUAGCGGUCUUGGUUAACGGAGCGCCAACUAAGUGGAUUAAGACAAAAAGAGGGGUUAGGCAAGGGGACCCUCUAUCCCCCUUUCUUUUCUUGCUAGUGGCUGAGUGUUUGGCCAGGAUGACGACUGUAACAUUUAAUAACAAUCUACUCAAGGGCUUGGGUCCAUCCGAGGCGAGUAGGAUAUCCAUCAUCCAGUUCGCGGACGACACUUUCUUCUUCUGCGAAGCUAAAAAAAGGUAUAUUAGAAAUUUGAAGUUCUUGUGGCAGCUGUUCAAAUGGGCCACUGGAAUGAAGGUCAAUAAGGAGAAGUCAGAACUGUUCUAUACGUGACGAUUUGAAGGAAAGGCAAGAAGCCUGGCGGACUUACUUGAGUGUAGUGUGGGUACCCUCCCUACCAAGUAUCUUGGUCUUCCACUAUCUAGUAGAGCUCCUUCGAAGGCGGACUGGAUGGGAGUAAUCCACAAAAUCCAAAGUAGAAUCGACGGAUGGCAAGCUAAACUUCUCUCCAGAGGAGGUAGACUGGUGCUGGUGAAUGCGGUCUUAACCAACAUACCUCUAUUUUACUUGUCUACCUUCAAGGAGCCCAAAUGGGUGAUCAAACGCAUUGAGGCACUUCAGAGAGACUUCUUUUGGAAAGGUAGUAGCCACACCCCAGGCAAGGGUAGCCUGAUUGCCUGGAAAAACGUCUGUAUAAGCAAGAAAGAAGGAGGGCUCGGUAUCUUGGACCUAGCCGUUAUGAAUCAAGCGCUACUUGCCAAAUGGUGGUGGAAGUUCCACACAGCACCUCAGCUACAGUGGAGCAAGAUUAUCCGCGAUCUAUAUUACCGCAAAAGAAGACCAUUAAAGGAGGGAAGAUCCUUUAGGCCCCGGUCACACUGGUGGAAAGGUGUCCUAUGUCACUCCGAUAUCUUCAAAUGGGGAGUAUACUAUAAAUUGGGGAAUGGAAGCACUAUUGAUUUUUGGUUGGAUAGAUGGUGUGGGGAGAAGACCCUGCAGCUGGCCUACCCAGAGGUGUAUGAUACGGCAGAAUGCAAGACUGUUAAAGUUAAGGAUUGUUUGGGAAGCGGUGGGUGGAACUGGAAUAUGAUUCUAGGAGGCGAAGGCGUAGGUAAUCAGGUUUUGAGCCCCACCUGGUCAGAAUUUUAGGAU
rnacentral:lncRNA from 1 species